rnacentral:lncRNA from 1 species
UUUGAAGUUAUCAUCUUUUUAUUUCAGAAUGCGUUUUGGUGGAUGAAAGCGCUUAUUAGACGUUUGCUGCAUUUCUGAAAGACCCUAGAGACUUGGAACCUGAAGCCCUCAGAACGAAUUGGUGGUAGACUGCAGCAGUAGCAGCUCAGAUGAAUGGUCCCAACCAAAAGAUCCACUGUUCAAUUUUUUAAUCAUCAAAUCAAAGUUAGUUAGGAUGCAUGCUUGUCUUCCCUAAUAAACAAUUAAUAUAGGCCUUGUUCGUUUGCUCACCCAGGUGAUUCAUCUGGAUGAAGAUGCAAAUUGAUGUUCGUUUUAUGCAUUAUAAUGUUACAUCCAGAUGGAUCAUCCAUCUGAAUUUUUAAAAACUCAUCUCAAAUUCUCAUCCAAGUGAAGGUGAGUUUUGAUGGUGCAUCUGGAUGCAGAUGCAUCUAGUUCAGUAAUGAUAAAUGACAAAAAUGACCUUUUAAAAUCAAAAUAUUAUUUUUAAACCGUAAAUUCUAUUUUUUUGCAUAUACAUUUUUCUGCUAUAACCAAAAAAAUGCAUUUUCUCACAAAAACAGAAAAACACAUUUUCCCGCCAAAACCGCAAGAUGCGUUUUUCCGCAAAAAAAUAUAAAACACACAUUUUCAUAGAAACACAUUUUGUUUUUGUAUAUGUACCUGUUGUUUUAAUUUUUAUCCUUUAAUUAGUCACUCAAAUUAUCAGAGUGUAGCACAGCUCAAGUAUACCAAGAUCGACAACACAUCUCUCGAUAUAUAUCUGUUUCAAAAUUAAUAUUAUAAUCUGCAUUCGAACAAUAGUCCAUUUGGAGCUACAUGGUAUAGGUCAAAAAAUUUAUACUGUAAUGUCCGACUAUCUAUGAGAAACCAUUCUCCUCUAAAUAUGUUUUUUGUCUAAAGUCAUCAAUGAUGAUAAUUGAUGAACCACCAAUUAUAAGUAUGAAAAACUGGUUGGUGAUUUAAUUGGAACCUCUGGUCCUAUUUAAAUCUACAACUUUGCCUUCUCUCUUCUAUUAUAACUAUCAAUCUACUUCAACACCACGAAGUAUGCUACAAGAUAUUGCUUGAAGCAACAAAUCAUUCCACAAGCUCGUACGUUUCAUUUAAGAUUUUGAACAAAUGAGAAAUACCCAAGUUGUAACAUUUUGCGAGUUAAAUCUGUUGGUCAUCUUCAAAAUAAUCCGUUGGUUCUACUAUAUAGAUAGAUAAUAGUGAUUCUCCAGUUUUAUGUUUUGUUUCGGAAGUCUUGAAAACCUAAAUGAUAAGCUGUACGUAGCACCAGCUGAUGACGUUGAAGAAGAUAGGAAGGAAGAGCUAAGACUCUGAGAGAAAGAGAAGCUUCAACAAUUACUGAAAUCUGAAGAACGAACGAGAGAGUUACCAAUCUAUUAGCUUAAGAGUUCCAAUUGAUACUCGUAUUGUGAGAGAAUGAAAUCUUCAGGAGUCACUAGAGAUACAGUGUAUUGUGUGUGUUAUUCCUAAUCUUAAUGAUACUGAAGAAUGUAAAUGAAGAGGGAAGAGUUGCAUGAAAGCACGAUGCAAAGACAGUUCACAAUAAAACCAAAGAAGAUGAUAUCAAUUGCUCAACGAGAUAGUUUAGGAUGAUUAUGAAAUGAAUCCAAACAUUAUACUCAUGAAGUGAAAGUUUAGGAUUAACUACGAAAUGAUCCUUAUGCAGUAAACUACAAUACUUCUAGCCAACAAUAAGCAAACUACCAUAAUCCACCAAACAGAUCAAAGCAAUAGCAUAGAAAGACCAAAUCAACCUCACAUUCUGAUCAUUCAAGACACCGCGAUCGAUAAACUCAUUAUGGUUCUUGAAACAGAAACAAGAAAACACAACAACAAAUCCAAAACUGAGUCAUUCUAAUUGAGGAAAAAAAAAAGACAACAUUUUUUCGAUUCCUUAGUUCUCAGGAAUAUCAAUCUCACCCUCUUGAAUCUCCUGUUGAAGAUCCUUAGGGUCCUUCCCAUCAACAGUGCACCCAACAGAGACACAAGUCCCAAGAAUCUCCCUAACAGUCCCACUCAGCUCCUUAGCAAUAGAUCUAGGCCUCAUGAUCCUAGCGAUCUCAAUCACAUCAUCAAACGAAAUGUUACCAUUGUGCUUGAUGUUCUUCACCUUCUUACGGUCCCUCUCCGGCUCCUUCAAGGCCUUGAUGACAAGCGCCGCGGCAGAUGGAACCACCGUGACCUUAGCCUGACGAUUCUGAACCGUUAGCUUGACGGUGACGCGGAGCCCUUUCCACUCCUUGGCGGUCUCUUUGGCGAUGUCUUCUCCGAUCUUCUUGGGGGCGAGACCGAGGGGACCGAUCUUGGGAGCGAGGGAGCUGGCGGCUCCGACUUCUCCUCCGGUUACACGGACGUAGACGUCGACGAUCUGGCUCGGGUCCAACUUAGGAGGCAUGGUUGUGGAGUGUGGAGAGGCGCCGUCAAAUGAUUUCUUUUAGGGUUUUUUUUUUUUGAAGGAGAGGAGUGAUAGUUGUGGCGGAACCUAGUGUUUAUAUAUGAUGAUGUAGAUUAUUCGUGUAACGGCCCAGCCCAAAUAUAUAUAUGGGCCUAAUCUCACUAAAACAAAUAAAUGCAUAUUAGUUUUUUUUUUUUCUUUUACCAAUUGAUUUUGAUCCAUCAAACUGAAGAAUAUACGAGGGUGAAAAUCUAAAUCCGACGGAAACAAUUUAACAUCUCCAGAAGCAUAGCCUACAAAAGGAAAACUCAAACCCAAACAACAGGUGACAUACAAAAACUACUAUGAUCACUAGAUAAAUCUUCACUCUUGCAUUUAACCCCAAGACAAAUAAUCUUUUAUCUUCCUUGAGAAAGAGAUUAGAGAUAGGAUUUCUAGGCUUGGACGAGCCGGAUUACGUGCAGCGAACUGCACUAAAAAGAAACAGCGAUGCAAUGGCAUUACAACGGCACAAGAUUAAGAUUACAUGAACCUUCAGUUUUCGGUAUCAAACCAGAACACGAACUCGAGAGUCUAACACCAUACACCAACCAAGAAGCAACACACAAGCCUAGAAUUUAAGCUUCCUUCUCAACUGAUCCUUCAUCGGAGAACCUAACACCCUUAACCUUUUUAUAAUUUCUCAACUAACCGAAGCCACCAAGACAUGCAGAAGACAAUCUGGAAGAGACAAUUAUUUAAGGCCAGGAGAAAAACUCCAAAACACAGAAAUGGCAGCGACAACCGACAAGAACCUGGAUCUUCUCAAAGGUGUUAAACCUGUUCUGCUAACCCCACAUCACCACACCAACCAAACACUCAACACACCAUUAACACAACACUUCUUUCACCGUUGCUGUAAUCAAAAUUGCUGUAAUCAAAACCAAGAAGCAAAACACUAAAUCCAACAAGAAUGCCUCAGAACUGUCCUCUGCGUAUUAGUUAGAGCUGUCAUUCCGUUUAUAUAUUCUUUUUUUUUUUAAAUGCCAAGGAAUUGAACCGGAAAUAUUUUGGUUCGGUAUGGUUUGGAACUCGGGUUGUUAGAUUUUGUUUUAGGUGUUACUAUCUAUUCCAAAUUGAACCGAACCGAAGCAGUAGUUGCAGUUAAUAGAUUUGAACAAGUAACUGCUUGCUCCAGUUCCGUUGCGAUGUCGAGAAAGAAACUCCCCGUCGUCUUGCCUGAAACAGCUACAUCGGUACUUCGCCGUUCAGCGAGGGUAACGGUCUCCUCGAUUAUUCUCGAGCGGAGGAGGAUCUGUGGAAGUGGAACGUCGAGCUUCUUCUAGUGGGAGAGAAUCAGGUAACAGUGUUUUGAGUAGAUGUAGGUAGUGCGAGAUUAGCUUCAUCUGGGAAAUCAAAAUUGUUUAGGAGAUGGUGUGAGAUCGAUCAUCUAGGAAUAGAAGUAGAAGUCGUCUUCGUCCAAAGACUUAGCACAUGCUUAGAGAUUGUAAUGUUGUUGAUGGAGAAGAAAAAGUUAGUGUUUUGUCCUGUCCUGCUAAGGGGAAAAGGAUGAGAAUUGCAAAGGAUAGUGAGGAGAGGAGCUUAUUUGACAGUGAAGCCAAGCCCUCAUUUCUGGAGAAAGGUUUCUAAGAUGGUGCCUGGAAAGUCUGCUCAAGAAUGUUUCGAUAGGGUGAACUCUGAUCUCAUCACUCCUCGAUCAAGAGAGCCAGGAAGAAGACAAACUUACCACCACUUCCGCAGUUUUCACUCUCUGCAAGUAAACUACUACUAAAACCAAAUUCACCAAAGGCUAAUAAGAUACGUCACUCAGCGAAGAGGCAAUCUCUCAAAGAAAGCUAUCAGACAUUUACUUGAGAAGGAAAGUCAUAUGGAUUUGAUCUCUUCUCAGUUCUUGAGCCUGGCGCCACAACCGACUUUCUCUCAACUCCAGUGGAUGAAGGGCAGAGUCUUCCGAGAAUCGUUGAAAGUCCAAAAGAUCAAGCAAAGCUCGUUAGCCCUCCGGUGCUGAAACAGGUGAAAAACAAGGGGCAUUGCAUGACAAUUACAUUGAUCAACUGCAUAUGAGGGAAGCCAAAAGAAAAGCUGAGUCUACUAGACUGGUCAGGAAAGAGAACAUCAAUAAUCAGAAAAAGGAUUCGGUGAGAGCAGUUAAAGAUGCUCUUUUGUUUGAUGUACAAGAUGCUAUCCAGAACCUUAAGAAUCUAGAGACUGAGAACUCAACUUGUUCUUCAGAGUUCUGCUAUGAUUGUGGAGAUACUGACGAAGAAGAAUCAUUAAUCUCUAACCAUAUAAUGGCACAGAGCAUAGGAGAUUAGAGAGUCGUUACUGUGUUGCACACAGCAACUGCUUGUGUGAGUUUAGUUUAGUCCGAUGUUGUAUAGACAACAAAAGUUGAUUCUCUUUUAAUAGAAAGAUCAUAUUUUGAUUCCUUUUGUUUGAGAUAAAAAGGCCAAAAACAUUUAACUUCAUUAGUUAAGUUACAGAGGAACAUGAUUCAUUGAAACAUAAACAUUUCAGAGUUAAAGAGAAGUAAUAAAAUUUUCACAAAAUAUUUUUCUCCCUAAGUGGAAAUUUUCAGUUUACACCUCCUAAUCAAAAGUUUCUAAGAUCUUAAAAACCUGUUUACUUCCUGAAAGUAAGAUCUAUCUUGAAAUCUCCUGACAUUCAAUAAUUAUAGUUAUACGAUUAUAACGAUCCUCAGUCUUCAGAGGAGUAGCCAAUCCGCUCAAUCUCCCAGCAAAGCUUAGAUGCAACCCUUUCAUGGCAAGGUGAAUACUCCUGCAAACAGACAACAAUAACAACACAGUUUAUAUGUUUUCAAAACUUCAGAAACCAGUUUCUUUCUUUUGGUUCCAUCAUAUUGCUUUACCUCAAGCUUCUUUACAAGCUCCUUAGCACUGGGUGCAGAGAUUAUGAUCUGGCGUGCAUUGGGACUGAUGAAUCCUUCCUCAACAGCUUUGUCAAUGAAAGAGAGCAAAGAGUUGUAGUAUCCAUCAACAUUAAGCAAACCCACCUGCAUCAUAACAAUGAAGAUUAAUUUUUAAUGACUUGGGUUUGAAAUUAUCCACCAAAAUUUUGAAUCUUUACCGGUUUGUCAUGUAUCCCAAGUUGGGCCCAUGUUAUGACCUCCAACAGUUCUUCAAGUGUUCCAUACCCACCUGUAUAUUCAGAAGCAGAAAGAGAUUAUAAUCUCUAUACAUUAUUAUUACUAUUAUAUUAUUUGAUAAAUUCAAUGCCUCAUCCUGUUCUCUGACUCUCUGUUUUACAUAUGGACAUGAUCACAAAAGCAGGGUCUUAUUGAAGAACAAGACCUCCUUGUAUGGGCAAAACAUGCUUUUUCUAGGACUGUUUUAGGUUUUGUCUUUAUACAUGAAACAGGUAAUAAAAAAAUUAAAACUUUGGUCACAGUAACACUACCCAACAAGCUAUAUGGAGCAAGAGAUAUGUCUUAUUUUCAGUGCGAGAUGUGGAUGGGUCAAGGCUUCUUUAUCUAUUUUUUUUAAGAAAAAUUGUCCAUAUAAAAACUGAAAAUCAUAUACUUUUAAAAUUUCAAACUUAAGAGAAUGUAUACAGCUUGAAUUUGACGAAGAAAACAUGUUUUUACUAAUGUUUCCUCUUCCAUCUUCUUUGGCAAUAUACUAGUCAAAGAGUUAAAACCCUUUUCGGUGCUCUUUUUUUAAUCAGCAUUAUUAUUCUUCUUUUUAAUUGAUUUUGCACAAUUAAGAAAUUACAAAGUACAAAGCCUAAGAAGAUGCUUAUUAGAUCCUUAAACAAGGCUGUGUAACUAGACUGUGACAAGUUUUAUCUCACAUAAUCAUUACUUGUUUGGAGAACUGACAGAUACAAAAACAGAUGGGACUUUGAACAACUUCAAGAUUCAAGAAAGGUUUUUAAACUUCAAUACUAACCUGGUAAGGCAAUAAAAGCAUCAGAGUGUCUAGCCAUCUCUGCUUUUCUUUGAUGCAUAUCUGCAACUGCUCUUACUUCUCCUACUGUUUCACCGGUCAACUGCCAAAAAGAAAUCCCCCAUUUAACCAAUAAUCUUGAGACUUUCAAUAAAAUUAAAAGAAGGAAAGCAAAGUAGCUUUAGACUGUUCUAUCACAGAAGCAAUGAUGGCAUGUAAGCAAAUGGGAUUAUUUUAAAAUUCCUUAAAAGACUUAGCAAUCAAUCUCUCCAUCUCACUUUUUUCUAAGGCAACCAUACAAAACUACUGCUUUAUAUGAAAAAGGUUUGAUUUAAUGGAUAGGAAAUAUAAUAGUUAAAGAGGAUUCAAGAACCAAACUAAAAUAGUUUUAAGUUUUUUUUCUCUCAGGGUAGCAAGAAUACCUCUCUAGGCAUGAGUGUCUUGGGAAUAACUCUGCAGUAAAAUGAGAACAAAAAUGAGAAAAAUACACUUAUUAGUAUGUAUUAAUCUCAAGUCUCUGAUUACGUAACUGGUUGAAGAGUUUACCCAAUAACAUGACGGCCACCGUCAUGAACAGCUUGUGAAACCAAACCCAUCAAACCUAUGCUUCCACCUCCAUACACUAGAUCAAUGUUCCUUGAAACCUGCAAAGUCAAACAAAACGAAGAGAUGAAUCUUCUCAGUCAUUUUUUCUUACUACAGAUACGAUUGACUAAUGAGCUAUGAAGAAGAAUCAAAACCAAAGAUACUGCUAUUUGUACAAUCAUACAUAUGCAGACAUAAAAGAUAAAAUAAUAAAAAUGAAAAUGAAAAACUGAGCUAUCAAAGAAACACAAGUUUCACAUAUCAACAGUACUUUUAAAGGUUUUUGUACUUGUAGGUUAGUUCGCACAAAAAAAAAUUACAUGUAAGUUAUAUAACAUGUUAAGUGUUUGUUUGUAACAGAACAAAACAGAGGGCAUUUGGUAACCAGAGUAUGGAAGCUGUCAAGAGUAAACAUAGAUCGAGAUACGUAUGUAAUACCAAUUCGUUGCCUAAAUCCACAGCAGCAUCUUGGUAACUACUCUUCUUGCCUUGGCUGCUUCCACAGAACACACAGAUUCUUCCAAACUUUGACUUUUGCAUGGUUUCAGUGUUCACUUCCAUUGAUUAAGCAAAGAAAAAUCUAAUCUAUUUGCCCCAAAGAAAACAGAAAGUUAAAAAUAGUUUUUGGGUUUGCUUCAUAAACGAGAGUGGUACACACCGUACAAAUGUCAAAGAAGAAGCAUUAUAAAUACAGAGUGCGUCUUCUCGUCAUGCUUAUUUAUUUAUUCUUGGAAAAAUUUCAAUAUUUUUAUUAAAUAGUUUUCUUUGUAUUUUCGGAAAUUUUUCACGUGAGAAAAUUAAGCGCGCGCGUUGCAUCCACCAGCACUUACAAUUCAUGUUGGCACGCGUGGACCAUUUCCUUUUGUUUCUCGUUAUUUGUUUUUUCUCUUCCCUUUAUUUUUUUGUUUUAUUAGCUUUCCUCAUUUCCUUUUUUGACUAUUUUCUAAACAUAAAAGUACUGUAUGAAACAUCUUUGAUAUCUAAUAACUAACUCCAAUGAUUCUGGAACCAAAAAAAUCAAAAUGGUAUAGAUGUUUAGAGAACUUUGGUUGAAAGUUGUAUUAAAUAACAUAAACUAAAUAAGAAAUUGGUAUAGUAAUAAUGAAAGAUUACAUAUGAGAGAUGUUUAACAUAAAAAUAGUUACAUAAUACAAAAAGGAGUACAUAUAAGAGAUACAUUAAAUCUGUAGCACGAGUUUUAAUAAUCUUUUUUUAAUCAGAAAAUAAAGGCUGAUCAAAUCAUUUUUAUGUCUUCGACCAGUUCAAUGGCUUUCGAACCUCGGUGUUCUAUUUCUUUUUUAUAUUAGAGUUAUAAUCGAACCGAUCUUUGUUCUACUGAAUUUUUUGACCUCUUUCAUUUUGGUUUUUCUCGGUUCAGCUUGGAUCCGUGAAGAAGAGUUAUUAAAGCCAAAUCUUGGAUUUUUCGAGGCUUUCUUUUUUAUAGAUCUUUGAUGUUUGAUUAUGCAGGUUUCGCUUUUGUGGUGUGUGAUUUGUUCGUCUUCAUCCUAGAUCUUUGGAUGUUUCAUCAUUGCCUCUUACCCUCGGUUUCAAGUUUUUUUGGUGAUCUGUUAAUCUAAAUGUAUGGACGAGGUAUGGGUUCUGGUUCUUGAUUGCUUUGGUCAUGUAGAAGAGCAUGGUCCAUAUCCUUUUGAAGACUUGGUCAGUUUCGGUUUCUUUGGCUUUUCGAUGAAAGUAGUAAAUAGUGUUUUCGUUUUUUUUUCCUUUUUGUCAGUAGAUUGAGCGAGGAUUUAGCUCUUCUCAAGCUUAUUUUAUUGUUCCAUUUUAUCUGAUUUGUGUUGAAGCUAUUCAGAGUGUUGGGUCUUUUGGUUACCUAGCUUAGUAAAGAUCGGUUCUUUGGUCAUUGUCUCUCUGUGUUGAAGCUUUAGUUUUCAUGUGUUUGGGGUUUUGUCUCUGGAGGUCUACGAUCUACCGGCAUAUGUAUCUUAACAUUGUAUCUCACUUUGUAUAUUUCCAUGAAUGAAUUAAUGAAAUCGUUAGUGUUUAAGAAAAUAAGACAAAUCAAAGACUUAAUGUAAGUAAAUCUAAGAACCUAACGAAAAAAGCUCAAUGUAAAAUAUGAUGAAAAAUUAAUAAAUUUUUCUUUUCUUUUCAGUUUCUUUUUUUUUUGCUAAAUUAUGACAAAAAUCAUUUUUUUUUACUUUUACUCUUGGUGUUGUUGAUAAAGUGGAAAAAAUACUCUAAACUUUUCUCUUGGUUUGGCAGGUAAAAUAUAUUAACGCUGAUUACUGUUGCUUUUGUCAUUUUCCACCUUUUAUAUUUUCUUUUCAUUUACUUUAUUUUAUUUAUUCUCAUUUAUUUUUCUUGUUUACCAAUCACACUCAUAAUGAUAUCUAAAUUUGUUGUGUUAAAAAGAAUGAAGUGACAAAGGAAACAUCUUUAGAUUAAAUAAAGAGCAAUUCUUUCAAAUAGCAUUUUUUAAGUUUUUGUCAUAAAAAUAGUCCUUGAAAAUUUUAAUUUUAAUUUUUUAUUUUUUAAAAUUUGAAACUUUAUCCCCAAAACUCUAUCCAUUAACUCUAAACCUUAAGUCUAGAUUAGUUAAUCCUACGGUAAAUAUAUUUUUACCUUUUAAUAAAACUUACUUUGGUCAUUUUCUUCAUUGAAGGUUAUUUUUGUGAGGUUACUAAAAAAAUGUUAUUUCUGUGAAAAAAAUUUAAAAAAUGAUAUCCUAGGGAAUUUCUCUUAAAUAAACUGAUUAGAUAUAAAGCUGCUUCACUUUUUGAUUCCCUUUUAUAAGAAACAAAACAAAAUUUUCAUUUUUGAAGAUGAAAUUAGAAAUCAGAAUUUCACUAUCAUUUGUCUACAUAUAUCUGGAUUCUGGACAAAAAGAUGGGUCCAAACAUAAUUUACUUUAUCUCCCUAAUAUUUAAAUGAAAGUUUGAUCAAGUGAUGGGCGGAUAUGUAACAUAUGCACACACACACACACACACAUAUAUAUAUAUAUGUAUUGUAAACUCUUAGUGAUGAUAAUGUCUGGUUGUGGUUAUGGAGCACUGUGCUUGAUGAUUGAAAUACGAAACACAAAGUAAUCGAGUUAUGGUUUUUAUUCUCCGUGCUCUCAUUCACUCUCCCUAUGUAGUCAAACUCCUUAUUCUAUCUCUUUGUUCUAAGCAUCAAACAUAGAGUAUUUUCAUACCUUUCCCCUACCCUUUUUUUUUUUGUUUUACACAUAUCCUUGUUCAUGUGGAUAAGGGAUAUAUAACUCACGGCCAUGCAUCUACUCCACAUAUAUCUGCAAAAAGAGCACGCAUUGUAUAAUAUACAAAUAAUAAUCCAAUACAAUGAUAGAUAACACAAUACGAUAAUAUACUGAAGAUUUUAGUUAUGAAAUGGUACGCUCCACAGCUUAUUCAAUAGUAUGGACUAUGGAACUAAAUAGCUAUAUUAUUCAGUUAGCUAUUUAAAUGUUGUUUUCCGUGGACAGUUAACCCCAUUCUAUGAAGUAUAUACUUAUAUACGUGUGAUAACAAAUUACUCCUAUAAUAUUAAACUAAAAGGAAUUGCAAUCCCAAGAACUCAGUGAAACCUGCCCCAAUAGAUUAUAUGUUGUGGGUUUAGAGAUUAUAAACAUAUAAUUACUUCUUGAAGCCAUUAAUUUGUAUUUGUAUUUGCAUGCUUGCAUGCGUAUUUAACUCUUUUGUAUUGUUUUCUUAUUGUGCCCCCACAUUCCUCUUGGGUUUCUCACUUUCCAAGUUAACUUAAUAAUAAUCGACCAUGAUGAAUUUUUCAAACAACAUAAUUAGCUCAUUCUCGAUGUAUUCGACACCUAUUUGUUAUAUUUCAAAAGGCAAAUUAUUUAGAUAGCAUACAAAUUAUGACAAAGAUAGCAUACAAAGAGAUUUUUUUUCAAAAUAGUACUAACUGAAAGAUUAAUAACUAAAUUAUUCAAAACUCUAAACCUUUCCUAACCACUAAACCUUAAUCACCAGGGCCGAGUUAAGGUAUUAAUGAACCUUUGGGGAAAAAAAAUUAUUUAACUUUACAUGUAUCUAUAGACAAUUUAAAAAUUUUGGGUUCAUAUUCCCAAUUAUUUUUCAAAAAUUUAGACCUUUUUUAAUAUUAAUUUUGUUAAAAACUGUUUGAACCCCAGAGUCCAUGUUCCCUUUCUCCAUGCUCUAAGCCGUCCUUGUCAAUCACUAAACCCACAUUUAAAUAUAAAAUAAUAAUAAAUGAUCGGAAUAUCAUUUCCAGAAAACACUUGUAAAAUAUAUAGAGAUAUAGUCAGCUUAAAAUAGUGCUCUCACACUAUAACACAAGCUUGCUUCUACAUAUGAUUAAGUUAAAUAUGUCUAGAUUGAGUUGGUUAUGGAAUUGAUUUUUAUAUAAUAAAGACAAAAGGAUAUGAGUUUUAUUUUGUGCACAAAGGAAAAUGAGUUAAAAAGGAAGAAAAUGCCUAACUUGUAGGCAAGAAGGGUGGUGGAAGUAUGAUGGAGAAAGAGCAAAGUGGCAUUUAUUAUUUUUGUGUUCUUCAUUUUUGAGACAUAAUCUUCCAUUAGUUCACUUCAAUGUUCCUUCUCUGCUUUCGGUUAUUGCUAUGUCCUAUUUGUUUUUCACUUUCGUUCAUUUUUUUGUUUCCUUCUUAAGACCAAUGACGUUGAAGUUACUCUUCGUCACGUGACGUCCGCACAAUAUAUACAAGGUUUGAUAUUAAUUUAGCAUUAUCCUAUUAAUCUAUUGAUAAAAAGUUCUUUUUUAAUCUCAACCGUCAAAUAAAUCAAAAUUGCUUUAAACUAGUUAUUUUUAUAUAUACACAAAAUAUAUUAAAAACAUCAAUACAACUAGAGUUGCCAAAAAAAACAAUCAUUAAGGAUAUGACUGGUUUUCUCGAUACCAUCGGCAAACGCAGCUUUUGCGGUUUGUAGCGGUUGGUUGUUAUUUUUUUACAACAAUCAUCAAAACCGUUCUAAACCGUUCUAAACCUCAUAAAUUCAAAAGCUGUUCCAGUUAGCGUUUACGGUUGCGGGAAGAUAAGUAUAAAUACAAAAAUAAAAUAUUAAAUAAAAAUUUUAAAUACUAAAAUAUAUCUAUUAUAUUUUAAUUAAUAUUAUAAAAUUCUAAAAAUAAAAAUUAUUUUCUAUAAUUUUUAAAAUUUUAAAACUAUAACUUUUUUAAUAUAAUUUUUAUAUUUAUUAUAAUAUUAUUAUUUUUAAUAUUUUUAUAAUUAUAUAAAAUGUAAAUAUUGUUGAUUUAUUAUCUAACCGUUGUUGCAUUUGGUAGUUAGCCAGUCAUAAAUAUCCCGCAAACGCACCAAUUUCUAACCGCAGAACCAGUUGUACAAAUCUCUUAAGACCGCUUGAAAUCACAACUACACGCAUCCGCAAACUCCCUCAACCGCAACCGCUAGUCAUACCCUAAAUCACCGAUGUGCGUGGCCUAGUGGUUAAGCACAUGGGUCAGCCUUAUUUCGUUCCUAAGUCGAGUGAACUCGGUGAAAAAAAUAAAUAGAUUAAACAUGUUUCUGUUCAGUGGCCGAGUCACUUUAGAAUAUCUACAACCAAUUGCUAUUUCCACUUCUAAAUGUUAUAGUAGAAGAAAAGAUGUUCCAAUCCAUUUUUAUUUUUCUUUUAAAAUAAAAAUUACUAUUUUUUCUUCUAAAUAUGGAAGCAAAAAUAACAUUCUUCUAUUAAAGAGUCAUACUUUUUAUUUAUAAGAUAGUUCACUACUUUUUAGAACUUUUAUAGUUAUAACCAAAACAACUGUUUUUAGAAACACGGUUUUUAUAAACAUAGAAUCACACUUGUAUUUAUGUAAUAGUCUUUUACAAAAACAUUACUUAAAACAAAAUCAUAACUUAUGAAAUUUGUAAAAGUUAAAAAUACAUAAGAUUAAUUAUCAACUUUCAUAAAUUUAAAAUAUUUGUUUCAAAAUUUAAAUAAAAUAUUUUUGAGAAUAUUUAUUUUAGAGCUGAAAAUAGAAGAAUACAUUGAAAAGAAACACAUUUCAAUUUUAGAAUUGAUAUAUUUUAGAGAUAAAAAUAGGAAAAUACACCAAAGAUGGUCUUAUAGACUAAUAUCACACUAAUUGUUGUGGUCUGUUGGUAAAGAUCUUCUUUUAUGACCCUAUGUCUUGAGUUCAACUCUCUCAUAUAUCAUUUUAACUAUAUAUUAAAUGAAUAUUGACCCAUGUAAAACUUAAACUUAGCUCAGCCACUGUUUCUAUUUACAGCUAAAGAUUGGUUUUGGAGAGAGAGAGAUUAAGUCCAAAAAGCCUAACUCUUCUUGGAAUAACAAAGGAAAAAAAAAAACAAUCAAUAGAGAGGAAUGUAAAUGAAGGAAAUUUCCUAAAAACACUUUUGGUUUAUUACAAUUGAGUCGAUUGACAUAAGCCUGACAAAAAAGCAAAAAUACUCAGAGUAUGAUUAAUGAAGAUUUUUAGGAUGAGUUUUUUUAAAGCAUGUUUAUCUCUGAAAACGUGUUAGAGGUUCUUAAAUAAAGAAAAAUUAAUAUUAUAUAAAUUUAUUUAUUUUUCAUUUUUCAUUAUAGAAUAGAACCAAUUAAUAUAUGACACAUAUAUAUCUCAGAACUAGAAACGUUUUUUAAAUUGCUUAACUAAGAACCUUUUAGCUUUCUCUUUCUUAAUUUUCAUUUAUUUUAAUAAUUUUAUUCUAGAAAAUUGUGAUAAAAGACUACCGAUAAACAUGAUCUUAGCGGAAUAUAAGAACCCGUCUCUUAACUUUUAACUAAAAAAAUUAAGAAUCGGUUUAUACCGUCUCUUAACUUUUAACUAAAAAAACUAAAAACCGGCUCUUAAAUAAAAUGUAGUAAUGAAUUUUCGUAAUAUGUUGAUUUGCUGGUACUGUUAACGUCUAUGUUGUAGCGGUCGAACCGUUCACUUGUGAGUUUGUGAAGCCAUGCCACUCGACUGGUUGAAAAAAGUGUUACUAUUUACACUCAAAUGCGUCUACUAUCUGUGUUGUCCGUGGUCAAAGAUAAUCAAUCUUAGGCCCAUUUUCAUAAAACUGGGAUCGAAUGUGUGGUACAUAUAAAACCAGACCAUACAACAUUGUAUGGAUCCAACUGAUUACAAACGAAAAAUUUGUAAUGUUUUAGGAAAAUUGUUUACUUUUUCUUUCAAGAGAAGAAGAUAAAAAGCAUUGAAUAACGAACAGACCCUAGCCUGCACAGGUACUUGGGCUUUGCCCCCACCAUAAGGAUGAAAGAAAGAUUUAAUAUAUAAGAAAAAAACAAAGUCCAAAACCCUAGUCUGCAAAGAUAAAGGCAAAACAUUCAAAGCCCAAAACGAAUCAAAAGUGAAAUAAAGAAACAAAAGCCCAAAACAUAAAUAGCUUGUCGUCAGUCAAGAUGAGCUACACCUCCAGAACAUGAAGUUGCAUGCAUGUUCACUCAAAAUUGGCGCCUUGGUGGUCUAGCCUCAGCCUCCGAGACUCUAAUCUGUCUUCCAUCCAAAUCCUUUAUAGAAGCCCAACAAAAAAGUGUAUCAGACAGUGUUUGCUAACAAGUACUACUGAUCAAAACAAAAUGAUGAUUACUCACAGCUCCAUUCAAAGAACUGAUGGCUCUUGUGACCUCUUGAGGAGAGCCGAGUGUCACAAACCCAAAACCCUUGGAUCGACCAGUGUCCCUGUCGUAAAUGACCCUGGCCUCUACAACCUUUCCUUGCUCGCUAAACAAGCUCUCAAGAGCCAUGUCAUCCACACCCCACGAAAGGUUGCCCACAUAAACUCGGUCUGAUGAACCUGAUCCCGAACCUGACCCAGAACCGUAGCUGGAACGCUCAGAACCGUAACCAGAACGUCCUGAACGUUGAGAACCGUAACCGGAACGUUCAGAGCCGUAACUGGAACGUUCAGAACCGUAACCACCACUUCUUGGUCCUCUGGAGAAUGAUUCCUCCCUCUUAGGUGGAGGAGGGCCAGCGUUAACCCUCAAGGGUCUGCCUUCAAAUUCCUACAAUGUUCAUGUCCACAUCGUUAGCAAAAACAACCACAAUGCACAAAAUCUAAAAGAUCAAACUGCAAGAUACAAACAACAAGCCUGUACUGCAAAGAGACAAAGGCUCAACGACUGUCUCACCAACUCAAAUCCCCAAAUGACAAACAAGAACAAUCAUAUAAGUAACAUGAGAAACAGCAAUUCAUAAAACAUGAGAAAAAAAGAAAUCUGAGACACCAAAUAACAUUAUUAAACACAAGCCAAAGAACAAGAACAUACACAUACAAAGAUACUCUAUAAACAACAAAGCAAAGAAGAGGAGUAAUCUCCUUACAUAGCCAUUGAACUGUUGAGCUGCGGCCUCAACUUCCGCUGCAGUGGACAUAGUCACAAACCCAAAACCUCUGCUUCUGCCAGUAACUUUGUCAUAAAUAACCUACAAAGCCAACCCAUUUCAUCACAAUAUCAAAACAUCAUAUCAUCAAAAGACUCAGAACCCAUUUUCAAUAAACUAAUAAGCAAUCUCUACUUCAUCAGAAAACCUAUAAAGCACCAAACUUUUAGGAAGAGAAUCACUUCUUACCUCAACCAUCUCAACGGUACCGGCGCUCUCAAAGAGUUGAGCGAGCUGGGCGCUAUCGACAUCGAAGGAAAGGUUACCGACGAAGAGCUUGAGGUCAGCAGAGAAGGAGCUGCGCUCCUGCGGCGGGGAGGAGUCGUCGUCAGCGAACAUGUCGUCUUCCUCCACCUCGAAAUCGGAGGAGACGGCGACGUGUGUAACGAAACGAGAUGGGUAUUGGGCGGGUGAGGAGGAGCAUUUGACGGCGGAGAAAGAGAGGGAGUGGAGUUUAGGAUUUGGGAUUGAAGGAAGAGAGGGAAACGGAAGAAGCGGAGGCAGACAUGGCUAAAGGCUAAAGGCUAAAGCUUUAUCUCGUGAUGUGCUUUCGGAAAGGGGAUAAGGUUUAAGGGUUCUGCUACAGAUAAUAAAGGAGACGAGUUUUUGAUAUUUAUCCCCAAAAAUGAAUCUCUCUCUCUCUCUCUCUCUCUCUCUCUCUCUCUCUCUCUCUCUCUCCUCUCUCUCUCUCUCUCUCUCUCUCUCUCCUCUCUCCUCUCUCUCUCUCUCCUCUCCUCUCUCUCUCUCUCUCUCUCCUCUCUCCUCUCUCUCUCUCUCUCUCUUCUCUUCUCUCUCUCUCUCUCUCUCUCUCUCUCUCUCUCUCUCUCUCUCUCUCUCUCUCUCUCUCUCUCUCUCUCUCUCUCUCUCUCUCUCCUCUCUCUGAUCUCUCUCUCUCUCUCUCUCUCUCUCUCUCUCUCUCUCUCUCUCUCUCUCUCUCUCUCUCUCUCCUCUCUCUCUCUCUCUCUCUCUCUCUCUCUCUCUCUCUCUCUCUCUCUCUCUCUCUCUCUCUCUCUCUCUCUCCUCUCUCUCUCUCUCUCUCUCUCUCUCUCUCUCUCUCUCUCUCUCUCUCUCUCUCUCUCUCUCUCUCUCUCUCUCUCUCUCUCUCUCUCUCUCUCUCUCUCUCUCUCUCUCUCUCUUUUUCUCAUUUCGGUUAAAACGAGAAUAUCCCCCACUUGUAUAUUUGAUUUACUCUCUGUGACAAAAAAAAAAAAAAAGACAGAAAGCAUAUUUUGAUUUACUCUAAAAUUUGUGUUUUACAUACUAUAUUAUAUUAGUGUGAUAUAUUUCCAUAAAAGAAGAAAAAAAUACCAAAAAUAUAUUUCAAAAAAAUUUCCUAGGAUGAUUUUAAAUUUUUUUAAUCCUAAAUAUAGUUUUCAAAAGUCAAAAUGAACAAAAGAGAUUUCAUUAAACGACAAAUAAAUAUUUAUAUUUUAGGGUUAACUAAUUUAUAUUUUUAAGCACUUAGUAACAUAUUACAUCAUCGUAUAUUUCUAUUUUUUUUUAUGUAUUUAGGACAUAAUUUCGAGCUGUAUCCACAUAAAACUAGAAAUAGAGUUUAAGUGUGUUAUACUUAUACCAUUAGGAUUUUUUUAGCACCGGCGCUGAGAUUUCUUUUUUAACAGUAUUUUUUGUUCUUCAAUAUUAUGAUUUUAUUUUAGAUUUUUUUCUAUAAAUUUGCGGAAUAUUUUCGUUUUCCACCGGUUUUUGUAAUCGGAAAUAUACUCGUUUUGCUCUUUUUGUUGUUGUAAUGGUUACGCAGAUUUGUUAGACGGGUUCAAGAGUAAACUUUUAGAAAGAAUAUCUUCCGGAGCAGUUUUAACCAAAAAAAAAUUCUAUCUUUAUCUAGAAAACUUUUCUCGUGUAGGUAACAUAAGUGACUGCAGUUUGUUAUGAUGCUGGAAAGCAUUUCAGUUGUUAACAAGAGCAAAACAAGAUUAGCUAGAUGUCAAUGUAUUGUCAUCAUCCAACAAAUAUUCAGUCUGGAUUUCAUCAUUGAAUUAUCUUGUAAUUGUAAUUGUCAUAUCAUAUUUUUUGUCGGAUUAUAUUAUUUUGUCAAAAGUUUGUUUUGCCUUUCUUGAUACGAUGUACCAUAUCAACGGUUAUGUUAUUGUAUAAGCCUUAAGACAGUAAAAGUUUGUUAUACGAUUGGGCUCUAUACCAAAAACAUCUUUUUUUCUUGACCCAUUCAGCCACAUGGCCACGUAACUUGCAAGUCACAACAACCGUAGGGCCCAUGUAACCUUACGCCUCGCCUAAUCGCCUUGGAUUCAGCUCCUCUAUCUCUGCUGUCGGUCUAUCUAUUUUCCGGCUAACAAGAGAUCAUAGAAAGCAUAUCCUCCACCACGAGCAAAAAUCGAGCACGGUCGCGAAACUCUAACCCAGAAUCAUAAAUAUAUCAGAAAAGGAGAGACAGCCAGAAGAGAAGCAAAGAGAAAAACAGAGAGGAUGGGAGGACGAGCCUCCGGCACCGGGGCUCUCGUUAACCGACGCAGGAGCUAGAAAUGAGAGUUUUGUUUGUUGGAGAACUCGAGAGGAAAGAGAAAAAAUGGGUCGUUUGUUGUGGUGCGUACGUUUGACAUCAAACCCGACAAGUCCAAAGUUUAAAUUAGUUGGAGCCAUUAUCAUUGUCUCAUUCCUCCUUCUCUACACCAUUCUUGCUCCUGUCAAGUGAAAAUAGUUUCUUUUAGCUUUUUCUCAUUCACUGCAAAAGUCGAUUUGUUAUCGUGAUGGUGUAAGCAUUUAGAUCAGAUUCUGAAAGUGUCUCAACUGUAUAUACCAUUAUAUCUUUUACCAAGUAAGAUCAUUCGUUUCGCAUGCGAAGGUUUAUUUUGAUUGAUUUAUUUGAUGGUUCUUUACAAAAACAUUACCUGAUUUUGUAAAGAAAAUUUACAUGCAUGCAUGUUAAUAUUUAUGCAAUAAAUGGUUCGAUUUUCGGUCAGUUCGGUUCGGUAACAAACCAAAAAAACUUGGUUUACGUUUCGGUUAGUUCUGUUUUCUAAAAAAUUCAAACAGUACCAGUUUUAACCGAAAUUCCAAACUAAACUAACUUAAGUAACCAAAAUCCGAAUUGAAAUAACCAAACUAACCUAACUAACUAAAAUAACCAAACCGAACUAACCAAAAUCCAAACCAAAUUAACCGAACUAACCGAAAUUAACCAUUUUUUUUAAUUUUAUUCAAUUUAAUCUGAAAAUUUAACCGAACAAACCGAAAUCUUUAGUAAAAAAUUUUAAAACCGAACUACCCAAGAACUGAACCAAACCAAACUUUUUUACGGUGCAAUUUGGCAAAUUUUACCCGAAUCGUACUAUCUGAAAACCGAACUACCCAAACUACCAAAACCCUCAUGCCUAAGAUUUGGUCCAGUCCGUUAACUGUUAAUUUGUUUUAGGUUAGAAGUUCAUAAAAUUUAACAUGUGUGCUUUAAACAACAAUUGGAGUUGAACUCGCGUCCGCCAAUAUAUGUUUAUUUUAAAAGUUAACGUUUAGAAUAUAAAAUAAGCUAUAUGGAUAUAUGUUUUUCUAUCAAUUUUUGUUUUUAUAUAAUAUUAUUUUAAAUUUAUAUUCAGUGAAAUUUCUUUUGAUAAAACUGUACUAAUCAUAUAUCAACCAUUUCUUUUUUCGUUUGUUUAUUUAAUCAUAUAUAAACCACUCAUUUAAAAAUGGUAUAUUCUUUUAAGUAGAAGAAAUAAUGAAUAUAACCACAGGUUAAAAAGGUUUAUUCAUCCCCUCUGUACAGAAAAAAAAACAGAAUAUUUUAAUAACAAUAGACAGUAAUUGCAUAACAGAAAUAUAUUUAACUUUUAUUGGAAAUUUAGUUUAGAUGUAGAUUAAAUUUUGUUAGGAUAAUAUUAUAUACGAGUUAAUUUAGGAUAAUUGAUUAAGUUUCUAAUUAGUAGUACAACUAUGACUUUUCUACAGUAUUUUUAAUGAUUCUAUUUUAAUAGAAUAUAUAAAUAACAAUAUUUUUUAGAGAACUCGACUAAAAAUUAAAAAAAACAAAUUGAUUGUACUAGAGCUUGAAGUGUUUUUGGCCGUUGUUUGUUUAAGAUAAAUAUGCUCAUAGAGAUCCCGACAUAAAGCAAGUGAUCUAUGGCUUGAUCUUCUUCUUUUUUGGUCAAGUAUCUAUGGUUUAAUCUAAGUAUAAAAUAUUAUAAAGUUAUCUUCACAAGUAUUUUCUACUCUAUUUUUAAGAGAUGGUAGACAGUUGUUAAAAGGCGAUCUAAAUGAUAAUAAUAAGAAGUAGCCACUAUAUGAGUAUAUGUCUUAGUUAUAAAAGGAAAUGAUUUGAAGUAGUCGUUAGACGGAUUAAGGAAACGAUUUGAAGUAGUCGUUGUUUCCUCUGCACUAUAUGAAGUAAAUUUUUCAUUAUAAAAUCUCAUGCAGUAUUCUUACAAUAACUAGCCAAAACGAUAACAUCUAAGAUUUUUUGAGACAAAUAUUUUAAAGAUUUUUUUAAUAAUUUUAUUUUAAAGAUAUAUUAUAUAAAUUUCAAUCCAAAACGGGAAUGAAGUUCGAAUUACAACCCGGCCCCGCCGCGACUUGAUGAAACCUUACAAACAAAUUUGCCUUUCGUAGAAGUUAACCAUCAUAGUGAUCCCUCUUCGAUCAACGUGAAAUAUAAUUACAAUAAUGCUCACGAUCUUUACUAGUUAAUGAAAUGCGUAUGAUUUACUCCAACCUUAAGUUUAAUUUAGGAAAUCUUCGGUAAUACGUAUUUCACUAUGGUUCACUUUAUAAUAAAAUUACUCUAUCAUAGAAUGAAAUAAUGUUGUUUUUUAUUUUUUAUUAUUUUUAUAUUUCAUUAUAUUAUAGAAUAUAUCUAUAAUAAAGUGAACUAUUAGAGCAAAUCAAUACUAUUAAAACAGGAACAUGCCCCAUUGAUAAUAGUUGAGUCCAAAAAAAAAUCCUAUAAUAUAUACUUAUAAAAAUAAACCAUAAUAAUUUCUAACUAUAUCUAAAUAUAUAUUUUGUAACCACUACUUUAAUUCCUUAAUAGUAGGAACCCACUAACAAUAGCUAAAAUAAAACUGUCGACUGAUAUAAGUUUUGUAACAUAUAUUUCUUACAAGUCUACAAUCAUCUAUAGUAUGUAAUGCUAUAUCAUCUAUAAUAACAAAUAUGCUGUAUUACUGGGUGAUAGAAAAUAAUAUAAAAUAUUUUUUCGUACCAAUUAGUUAUACAGGUUUCUUGUGGAUUUUCUUUUAUUAUAUUUUGCAACAUAUAUAUACAGUGGACUAUCAUAAAAUCAUAAUAGAUAAUUGAUAAUAAAAAUAAACUAAUCCAAAUCGAACAAUUAGUUCUGUUAAUAGAUUCAUAAUCUACAAAUCAUAUCAUCUUUUUUUAUAAAAACUAAAAAUUUAACUUCCUGUUUAUAUUACAAACAUAUUCAUAAUAAUAUAACUAAAAAUGAUAAUUGACAGUUAUGUAUAGGUUCAACCAGUGGUUUAACUGGUAGGACGGAUUCUGAGUUUUAGCGGGUUUUAUUUAAUCUACAAAAUCAUAUCAUCUUUCUUUUUAUAAAACUAAAAAUUUAACUUCGUAAUUAGAAUACAAAAACAUUCUAAUAAUAUAACUUUAAAAAAUUAAUAAUUAAAAGUUAUGUAUUGAUUCAACCACUGGUUUAAUUGGUAGUCGGGUUCUAGGUUUUAGCGGGUUUUUGUAGGUUUUACUGUAUUAUUAAAUAAUAUUUUUUUCUUAAAACUCAAAUCGGAUUACAUACCGGAUCACCGGAUUUACCGAUUCAACCGCGGAUCUGGAUCGGAUUUCAAAACAUUGAGUACAUAUGUAUAGCUAUGCAAUAUUACAAAUUCAAUAUAAUUAUCAAAACCUCUUACUAAUAAUUUUUUAAAAAUGGUAUACAAAUAUGUGAUUACAAAAAACAUAAAAAUUAAAUUUCUAUAAAAAAUUAAAACAAAAAAAUAUACCCGCCCUUUCAAAGGACGGGUUAGAAUCUAGUUCAACCUUAAAUUACUUGAUUUUAAAAUAAAUAUAUAAAAAAUUAUUGUGUACCCAUUGGAGAUGAUGAGAGAUAAACAUUUGAAUAUACAUAAAUAAAAACAAGAAUGAAUUUUAACAUUUGGACCAAAAAAAUAAAAAUAUAAUGAAUUAAUGAGUUCAAUAAACAAAAAGGAGGAUUAGCUGAAAGAGGGCGUUGUCAUGCUUAUUCAUAGAGAUUAUUACUUUGAUUUUGUUGCCAACUUUUCUUUCAACAUCUUGUUAUGUCAUUGCUUUCAUCUUCCUUGUCUCUUGUUUGUUUAUUUGUAACAAGAUGCACACACACACACACACAUAUAUAUUUACACCAAAAAAUAAACAUAUGUAGAGAAAUCAUUUGCUCAUCUUAGAGCAUUCAAUUAUAUCAUAUGGUUUUUUACUGCAUUCGUUGCUGAUAAAUAUUUUGACAAUAAAUAAUAAUAAUUUAUUCUUAUUCAGUGAAGCUAGUGUUUAUGGAAUUUAUUGUUUGUAGAAAAAGAAUACACUAAUUGUAAUUUGAAGGAAUAACCAAAGAUUUGUACACAUGCACUAGCAAAGAUUGUCAUGAUAGGUAUAUAUCUAGUUUGAGCUUACAUAGUUUAGUAAAACCAAGAUUCAAAAAAUAUAUAAUUAUACUGACAUGGUAAGAUUGUGAUUUAAUUUCAAAAUCAAUACCAAGAAUCUUGGUUUUCAACCACAAAUUUGAAUCCAAACGGUACAGAACGUGACUGAUCUUAUUAAUAGUUUCCAAGUGGUUUCUUAUUAUUCUUGUAGUAAAAAUUAGCGGGUUUCAUGCUGCAUCUGUUGGUUGGAAAUGUCACAAUAAAAACAUACGUAUUCCAUUCUACAUAAAAUAACAAGUAAAUGUGUAUAUAUAUACAUAAGACUUUCUUAGAGGGGAAUCUAAAUUAUAUAGACAUUAAUCAUAACAUAUACUUGAAGAACGAGAAACGCAUGAAGACAUGGCCCAGAACCAUUCUCGAAUUAUCCAGGAAUAUAAAAUUGAUACUCAACCCUCCAUGAUCACAGCUGUUCACAAUAACUUUUUGAGUAUCACAGCAUGUGUUUUUAUUAUUAAUAUAUCUUUUGACCUUGGAAGUCGCAGAUCAUUUCAAGAACUAAGAAGAAAAGCUGAUGUAUUCACUUACAUCAUUGAAGCGUGUCAGUUUGAACAAUGUAUAAAUGUAUAACUAUAUAUAUAUCUGCAAGUCAAAACAGUUAGGCUUACCUAUCAAUUAGACUUUGAGUUUCUGAUAACAGAGAGCUCAAACUAAUUAAGCCACAGCCAUGGCUAAUAUGGCUGGAGCAGACGAGAUUGAGUCGUUGAGAGUGGAGCUUGCAGAGAUUGGAAGAAGCAUCAGAUCAUCGUUCCAUAGACACACCUCGAGUUUCAGAAGCGGCUCUUCAAGGUAUGAACCUGAUCAUGAUGGUGAGGGCAAUAAUACGAAUGCAGAGUAUGCUCUGCAAUGGGCUGAGAUCGAGAGAUUGCCAACCGUCAAACGCAUGAGAUCCUCUCUCCUUGAUGAUGGUGAUGAGUCCAUGGCCGAGAAAGGUAAAAGAGUCGUUGAUGUCACGAAGCUUGGAGCCAUGGAACGUCAUCUGAUGAUUGAGAAACUCAUCAAACACAUUGAGAAUGAUAAUCUCAAGUUGCUCAAGAAAAUCAGGAGAAGAAUAGACAGGUAAGUAAUAAUCUUUACCCUUUCGGAUUCUUGGAACUUUGAGAUUAAAACUGUGUUGUGCAGAGUUGGAAUGGAGUUACCGACCAUAGAAGUGAGGUAUGAGGGUUUAAAAGUGGAGGCAGAGUGCGAGAUUGUUGAAGGGAAGGCACUUCCAACACUGUGGAACACUGCUAAGCGUGUUUUGUCUGUGAGUAACAACUUCUGCACACCAAAAAGCUGUUGCUGUCUUAAUUCUGUGAGUGCUUUAAAGCCUCUGAGUUUGAAAUUUUUAUUGUAUUGAUUUUCUCCAGGAACUGGUGAAGCUCACUGGUGCAAAAACACGAGAAGCCAAGAUAAGCAUUCUUAAUGAUGUUAAUGGCAUUAUAAAACCAGGAAGGUUAGUAGUUGUCUUCUCACAAGUUAUGAUCAAAGCUUUGUGACAUCCAAGUGGGUUUAGUAAAUCUUCUUGCUCUUGCAGGUUAACACUGUUGCUUGGUCCUCCUGGAUGUGGAAAAACGACUUUGUUAAAGGCCUUAUCAGGAAACUUAGAAAACAAUCUAAAGGUUCAUAUAAUGAAAGCAGAUAGUUUUAGUGUUUUUAUUUCAAUCAAUUUCAUUUACUGCAGAUUUAUGAAGUGUAUGCCUUUUCUGUUUCCACAGUGUUCAGGUGAAAUCUCCUACAAUGGGCAUAGACUUGACGAGUUUGUUCCUCAGAAAACAUCCGCGUACAUAAGCCAAUAUGAUCUGCACAUUGCUGAGAUGACAGUGAGGGAGACAGUCGACUUCUCAGCUCGUUGUCAGGGUGUUGGAAGCCGAACAGGUAGGAUUCAUAAACCAACGACUCAAUGUCUCCUCAGAGUGCAUUAAGAAAAAUGUAUCAUAAUUCUUUCUUUUCCUGCGGAAACAGAAAUUAUGAUGGAAGUUAGUAAAAGAGAAAAGGAAGCAGGAAUCAUUCCUGACACAGAAGUGGAUGCUUACAUGAAAGUACAUUCCUCUAACACUCUCUUAUCCCUUGAGCCUAACCUUUAAGCUCUGUGGUUGAUUAUAACUUUUUGUUUCCUGUAGGCAAUAUCUGUUGAAGGACUUGAAAGAAGUCUGCAAACAGAUUACAUCUUGAAGGUAUUAUAGUCUCUUUGAUAGCUCGGCUGAAACUCUGCCCUUUCUUGUUUGGUUCUUAUGUCUUCUGUCGCAUUUGCAGAUUCUUGGACUCGACAUUUGCGCAGAAACAUUGAUUGGAGAUGUGAUGAGGAGAGGCAUAUCAGGGGGCCAAAAGAAACGUCUUACCACAGGUUAGUUUCAUAGCUUGGAACUUGCAAUAUUGUCAACUUUUGCUCAUGUACCUGAACCUCUUUUAACUUUUUGCAGCCGAGAUGAUCGUUGGUCCAACAAAGGCACUGUUUAUGGAUGAAAUAACAAACGGCUUAGACAGUUCCACGGCUUUUCAGAUUGUUAAAUCUCUUCAGCAGCUGGCUCACAUAUCAAACGCUACUGUUGUUGUUUCGCUUCUUCAACCUGCUCCAGAGUCCUUUGACCUCUUUGAUGACGUUAUGCUGAUGGCCAAGGGGAAAAUAGUGUAUCAUGGCCCACGCGGUGAGGUCCUGAACUUCUUUGAGGAGUGUGGAUUCCAAUGCCCUGAAAGGAAAGGUGUUGCAGACUAUCUCCAGGAGGUAAUAGCCAGAGCUUCGUUCCCUAAAGUGACCUUUUGUUUCAUGAGUUGUUGAUCCUCUCUUGUUCUGCUUCGAAGGUUAUAUCAAGAAAAGACCAAGCACAAUACUGGCGGCAUGAGGAUGUACCUUAUAGCUUUGUCUCGGUAGACAUGUUGUCGAAGAAAUUCAAGGACUUCAGCAUCGGGAAGAAGAUUGAGGACGCUCUAUCUAAGCCAUAUGAUAGAUCAAAAAGCCAUAAGGAUGCUCUUUCCUUCAGCGUGUACUCUCUACCAAACUGGGAGAUGUUCAUAGCUUGCAUAUCAAGAGAGUAUCUUCUCAUGAAGAGAAACUAUUUCGUCUAUAUAUUCAAGACGGGUCAGGUACAAUCUGAAGUUUUCAUUUCUCUCCUUCUGAUCUUCUUUCUAUGUUAAUACUAUUCCUGACCGUUCUAGCUUUAUGUAUGCAGCUUGUGAUGGCAGCAUUCAUCACUAUGACUGUGUUUAUCCGAACACGGAUGGGUAUUGAUAUCCUUCAUGGAAACUCUUACAUGAGUGCCCUCUUCUUCGCCGUCAUCAUUCUUCUUGUUGAUGGAUUCCCUGAGUUGGCUAUGACGGCUCAACGCUUAGCGGUGUUUUACAAACAGAAGCAGUUGUGUUUCUAUCCAGCAUGGGCUUAUGCAAUCCCUGCAACGGUGUUAAAGGUCCCACUGUCAUUACUGGAAUCUUUCGUUUGGACCGGCCUGACAUACUAUGUCAUUGGGUACACCCCUGAAGCUUCCAGGUGAGCUUUCCACUCCGCUGAUUGGAACUUAAACCCUAGAAACAUGUUCAUACAACUGUAGCAUGAUGAAGUUUAAUGUUCCAGGUUCUUCAAGCAGUUCAUUCUACUGUUUCUUGUUCACUUCACUUCGAUAUCCAUGUUUCGGUGCCUCGCUGCAAUCUUCCAGACAGUAGUUGCUUCAGUCACAGCUGGCAGUUUUGGUAUAUUAAUCACAUUUGUCUUUGCCGGUUUUGUCAUUCCACCACGUAAGACUUUGCCCCCAACCUUUGCCUCAAACGUUGUACCAUUCAAAGACGACUCUUAAGGUUUUGUGUUUGUUGCAGCUUCUAUGCCUGCAUGGCUCAAGUGGGGUUUCUGGGCGAAUCCUUUGAGUUACAGUGAGAUUGGGCUAUCGGUAAAUGAGUUUCUUGCUCCAAGGUGGAACCAGGUAAGUGUCUCUUAAUCACACAAGCUUCUUCUUUCCGUUCUUCAUGCUAAUCAGCUUGUUCUUGUUACAUCCCCAUUUGUAGAUACAACCAAGUACUAAUCUUACCUUAGGUAGAACCAUACUCGAAAGCCGUGGACUGAACUACGAUGGUUAUAUGUAUUGGGUAUCACUCUGUGCCUUGGUGGGUUUCACUGUGCUCUUCAACACAAUUUUCACUCUGGCGCUGACUUUCCUGAAAUGUAAGUCCAUCUUCUACUACACAAGUGUUAUGUUCUUUGAAACACAACAUAUACUUAAACUUCAUUUACCAAAACGACAGCACCAACAUCAUCACGAGCCAUGAUCUCACAAGAAAAACUCUCUGAGCUGCAAGGAACAGAAGAUACAACAGACUACUCUUCCAUCAAGAAAAAGACCACAGAUUCCCCUGUAAAAACAGAAGGUGAAAACCUUAUUGUCUGUCUACCCACUUCUCUCGUUCUACAUACUCUUCUCACUCAUACUCUGGCUUAACAACAGGCAAGAUGGUGUUACCUUUCAAGCCCCUCACUGUAACAUUUCAAGAACUAAACUACUUCGUUGACACUCCAGUGGUAAAACCAUCAUAACCAAUCACAUAAUGAUUCUUAAUUCUAUCUUCGAUAUGUUCUAAUGAUAAUCAUUCUCAGGAGAUGAGAGAGCAAGGAUAUGCUAACAAGAAGCUGCAACUACUCACAGACAUCACCGGAGCUUUCCGUCCGGGAAUCCUAACGGCGUUAAUGGGAGUGAGCGGAGCCGGAAAGACCACACUCCUCGACGUCCUAGCCGGAAGAAAAACGAGCGGAUACAUAGAAGGCGACAUCAGAAUCAGCGGCUUCCCUAAAGUCCAAGAAACGUUCGCCAGAGUCUCAGGCUACUGCGAACAAACAGAUAUUCACUCACCAAACAUCACCGUCGAAGAAUCCGUCAUCUACUCCGCUUGGCUCCGUCUCGCUCCUGAGAUCGAGUCCGCAACCAAAACCGUACGCAUCUCCUCCUUCUUCUUCUUCUUCCUUCUUCUUCCCCGCGCAAAUUCGACACCAAUCUCAACCCAAUCUUUACAGGAAUUCGUGAGGCAAGUGCUGGAGACGAUCGAGUUAGACGAGAUCAAGGAUGCGUUGGUGGGAGUCGCCGGAGAGAGCGGAUUAUCGACGGAGCAGAGGAAACGGCUUACGAUCGCGGUGGAGUUGGUGGCGAAUCCGUCGAUCAUCUUCAUGGACGAGCCUACGACGGGAUUGGAUGCAAGAGCAGCCGCCAUUGUUAUGAGAGCUGUGAAGAACGUAGCUGACACUGGACGAACCAUCGUCUGCACUAUUCAUCAGCCUAGCAUAGAUAUUUUCGAAGCUUUCGACGAGGUUAUUAAAUUGCAAAAUGUUCUCUUGAAAUUAUAUAUCUUUCGUAUUUGCCCCAAAUGUUUUUAACUUAUCUAAAGAAGUCUUAACAUUAACUUGAAUUUUCAGUUGGUCCUUCUCAAAAGAGGUGGUCGCAUGAUCUACACAGGACCACUAGGCCUAAACUCAUGUCAUAUUAUUGAGUAUUUUGAGGUAAGUUUCAUAGUUUUUUAAUGUAUGAUGUUCUUACCAAACAGAUUAAAAGUUUGUUUUUUAAAUGUUGUUGGGUUAUAAAAUAAUAGAAUGUUCCCGGAGUUCCUAAAAUAAGAGACAACCACAAUCCUGCAACAUGGAUGCUUGAUGUUAGUUCACAAUCUGCGGAAGUUGAACUUGGUGUCGAUUUCGCUAAAAUCUACCACGAAUCCCCUCUUUUCAAGUGAGUAGAUUUUCAAAUCUAUGCAUAAACCAAACCGUGUUGUACUAAAAACAGUUGUGAUUGUUUACAGGAGCAACUCAGAGCUUGUGAAACAGUUGAGCCAACCAGAUUCAGGGUCAAGUGAUUUACAGUUUAAAAGAACUUAUGCACAGAGCUGGUAUGGACAAUUCAAAUCCAUUUUGUGGAAGAUGAACUUGUCUUACUGGAGGAACCCUUCUUAUAACCUAAUGCGUUUGAUUCACACAUUAAUCUCUUCUUUGAUCUUCGGCGCACUCUUUUGGAAACAAGGCCAGAAAAUGUACGUAACUAUGACAUAUUAUUAGUUAAAUGAGUUUCCAGUCUAAAACAAAUUGGUUUAUAUUAAUUUAAAUUUGUUUAAAAUGUUCUAAUAUGUCAUAUAAACUUUAUGUGGUUUGUUUUGUUGCAGAGAUACUCAACAAAGUGUGUUCACUGUAGUUGGAGCGAUCUAUGGGGCUGUGCUUUUCUUAGGGAUUAACAAUUGUGCAUCAGCUCUUCGGAAUUUAGAAACAGAACGUAAUGUUAUGUACCGUGAAAGAUUUGCAGGAAUGUACUCAGCAACAGCUUAUGCAUUAGGUCAAGUUGUGACUGAGAUACCUUACUUGUUCAUACAAGCAGCCGAGUUUGUGAUCAUAACAUAUCCUAUGAUCGGUUUCUAUCCUUCGACCUACAAAGUCUUUUGGGCACUCUACUCUAUGUUCACUUCACUUCUCACUUACAACUAUCUCGCAAUGUUCCUCAUCUCCAUCACACCAAACUUCAUGGUUGCCUCGAUUCUUCAGUCCAUCUUCUUUGUUAACUUUAACCUCUUUUCCGGGUUCUUGAUUCCUGAAACGGUAUGAUCUUUUAUCUUAAACACGUUGAGUAUGUCAGAAGAACUUUUUUAUCUAAUAAUGUGUGUGUCUCUUGUGCAGCAAGUUCCAAGGUGGUGGAUUUGGUUAUAUUAUAUAACACCAACGUCAUGGACACUCAACGGGUUUUUCUCGGCUCAGUAUGAAAAUAUUCAUGAGGAGAUCAUUGUCUUUGGAGAAUCCACGACGGCUUCAAAAUUCUUAGAAGACUAUUUUGGAUUCCAUCAUGACCGUUUGGCAGUUACAGCAGUUGUUCAAAUCGCUUUUCCUAUUGCAUUGGCUUUGAUGUUUGCAUUCUUUGUUGGCAAACUCAAUUUCCAAAGAAGAUGAUGAUCUUGGCAACUUUCAUCUUCCUUUUAGUAUACAGUUUGUUUUGUUUCUUGUGAAAAUAAACAUAUAACUUGUUUUGUUGUUGUUGUAUUUGUAUAGCUUUAAUUUCUUUUAAUCAAAAUGUGGCUUGAGGAAUUCAUUCCUCUUUUUUUUUCUUCCAAAUAGAAGUGUUUUUAACCUUUUUUUUUAUUAAAGAUAAAAAAAACAGGCUCUUAACCUGAUCCCUAAACUCAUCAUGUGACAUGACACAUGAGUAAUGAAUUAGAUAAAAUUAAAAUAAAAAAAUAAACCAAGGUUUACAAAAAUAGUUAGACAUUAACAAGACGUUUUAUAUAUGAUUAGUGUUUAGCGGAUUAUUAGGGCUAAGACAUUAAUUUAUAUGUUUUAUUUGUUAUAUAUCUUUAUUUAUAUUACAUAAUUUUAAAUUUUUAUGGGUUUAAUUAAAAAAUAGCCUUGAUUAAAAUAAUCUGGAUAUAUUAGAAAAUAAGUUGUGAGCUUACAUUAAGAAACAAAAUUAGAUAAAAUUAUCAUUUGGUUAUAAACAAAUUGAUGGUGAAGACAAUAUAACUAAAUUAGUUAUAAUUCAAUCUAAAUUGAAUUUUAGAACAUUGAUGUAAACUAAUUAAGAGAUGAAGAAUAUUUAAAGAUGCAAAGAAAAUCAAAAAUUUUAUCACUGAAAUAUUUAUAUUUAGGAGGUGAUUGAUUGUAGCUGUAGAUGCUUUAGAAAACCAAAAUUUAGUUUAAAGUUAUAUAUGUUAACCAAUCAACUUUUUCUUUCUUUAAAAAAUUUACAAAAAAAAAGUCUUUAGAAAAUUAAAAAUAGCUGUAAAAAGCUUUAUUUUCAGAACAAAAAAUUAAUUUUUUAGAAAGGUACAUCAAUGAAAAUUACAUCAAAUAAAUCUACCGAUUAAGUUCUAUAGCAAAAAAAUAUAAAGUUAUAACUCUUACCAAUCGUCCCUUAGUUAGAAAAUAUAAAUGGAAACUUUAGUUAGUAUAUCUUUAUAAAAGGGCAAAUCUCCAAAAUAGCACAUUUCUAAGUUUAUAUCACAAAAAUAGCACUCAAAAACUAAAAUGACCAAAAUAGCAUUUUAUCUUUUGAAAAAUUUAAAUUUUUUUAGUUUUCAAAAUUUGAAAUCUUAUCCCAAAACCUCACUUCUCAACUCUAAACCCUAAAACCUAAACUCUAAACCCUAAAUUCUAAACCCUAAACCCCACCCCUUGAGUGCUAUUUUUAUGACUUUUGGCCUUUAGUGCUAGUUUGGGAACAAAAACUUUAUUUAGUGCUAUUUUGGUCUUUUUCUCUUUAUAAAAUUUAGUUCAAUAAAUCUGGUAUUCUAUUUCUACCUUUUGCUUAAAUAUAUUACUCAUAAGAUGGUUGGUUGAAUAAUUAAUUUUAGAAAUUCCAUUUGACCACAUUUAAAAAAAAUAUAAACCAGGAAAACCAAACCGGUCAACGGAAGAGGCUCGGUCUGUUCCUAACUUGUUCCUAUACGCUUUUCUCCAACGCCAUUGCCAAAAAGCUCGCGUGAGCUCGAUGCGUGUUGAUUGCAUCUAAGCCUUCUCCUAGCAAAAUCGAAAUCCUAACAACACACCUCCUCUCUUUUAAACAUUUGAUCGGUGCGAUUUCGUGAUGUCAAUCCGAAUCCCAUCGGCUUCUCGGGACUUUCGAGGUUUCGUAUUAUGUUUCAUCUUCCUCCGAUCUUUCCCAGGUAAAAAAAAAAAAACACAAUACUCUCACCGUUUGUAAAAUCUUAAUCUGAUGAUAAAGAGUUUCGAAUUGUAUUGUGAUGAUUCACAGGAACGAUACGAGCACAAGAAGUUACACUAGACACGAUUCAGAUCUUCACGACGCACGAGUGGUUCUCCACCACGCCUAUAGUUUAUUUCCAAUGCAAAAGAGAGAACAAGACGGUGCUUCCUGAUGUGAAGAUAACCAAUGUCUCUUACUCUUUCAAAGGCCAAGAAUCUUGGCAGGUUUGAAUUGUAGAUCAAUCAUGACAUACGUAGCUGGUUUCUUGCUUAUUUUGGAGGGUAUUAUUGUUUUAUUAUCACUUUAUUUGAGACAUAUGUUGUGUUUUGUUUUUUUUUUUAUAUAUGUUUUCAGCCACUAACUGGACUUAACGGAACAAAGUGCAAGAGAUGUGGAAUCUAUGAGGACGACACCUUCAAAUAUGAUACGUUUGAUGAAUGGGAGCUUUGUCCUUCUGAUUUCACAGCUGAAGGUAGAUACACACACGUCAAGGACAAGGAGUUCAAUGCUACUUUUCUCUGCCAUGGAUGCUCUCAACUCGGAUCUGGUGAGUUACUUCUUUCUCUGUUUGCUCUUGCUAUACAUUUGAAUCAUUUGAUUAGGAAUAUGACAUGCGCGUUUUGUUUUUGCAGGUUUGAAGGAAGGAGAUGGUUCUGAUAAGGAAGAAGGAAGGCGCGGAAUGCAUCCUGCAAUCAUUGUACUGAUUGUAUUACUUGUGUUAGGUGUGGUUACGGUGGGUCUUGUGGUUGGUUACAAGUAUUGGCGAAAGAAGAAGCGGCAACAAGAACAGGCCCGGUUUCUCAAGCUGUUCGAAGAUGGUGACGAAAUUGAGGACGAGCUUGGCCUUGAAAAUACCCUGUGAAGCUAAAGCUCAGUGUGGUCUAGUAACUGAGUUACUGCAACUCAAUGUCACCUCUGUGUACAUACACAGCUCCUUGAUCCCACGUACAUUUUGUUUUGGUCUCAAGUAGAGUGGAGAAAAAGGAAAUCACAGUGAUUAACAUAUACAAAGUUACAAACACAUGCAAAGACAAACUCGAUGCUGUUUACUUUUCUUUUAUGUCGUAAAUGUUUGGCAAUUAAAGAGGCUAAAGAAUUAGGUUGCCAAUUAAAUCAAUAAUUUUUAAAAAUAAAAAAUAUUUUUCAUUACCAAUUUUGAUUAAAAAGAAACAGAAUAUAAUAAGGAGCAUAAACACUCAAAGCUUUAUUCUUACAGGAGUCAACGACAAAUAAAUGUGUUGCAAAAAACAAAUGUAUGAAAGAUAACAUAGUUUGGAAGCUGUCUGAUGACACACCAACGAGCCAACAAAGAAAGUAAGUCAAGGAAGGAACAUCAUCAUCCAUUGAGACACAAUGAUAUGGCAUUGAGCUUUAACCUGUUGGGGGCAGUGAGACAUCAAGGUGACUCGCUGCCUUUAGGGGAAGAACGGUUAAGCUCAGGCUCAUCAUCAAUGGGACUCCUGUCUUGACCAUCAAGUCCAGCAGGACUUUCUUCACCUCCCACAAUGGGACUCACAGAGCUCUUACCAUUACCAUUCACCUUUGGGCUACCUUCAUAGUCUGAUCCUUCUUGCUUUUCCCGUUUUGGGCUUGCAUCUACGACCCUUCGCUCUGGACUCAUGCUUUGGUCUUUGCCUCUGGGAGAUACAGAUCGCUCCAUUGCCUUAGGACUGAGUGAUCUAUCUUCCACGCUUCUCUCUCUUCUCACUGGCGACCGUGAUCGGCUGGUCAAACAAAAGCGCAUCAACUAAUAAGAAAACACCUACAUAAUUAUCUAGUGCAUGCUUUUAAAGGCUUAAAUUUAAAACUAACCUGUAGCUACGACCACGGCUGUAACUACGGCUACGGCUUGGGCUUCUUCUGCGGCGAGGAGAGCGUGAUUUAACUGGUGACCUGGAGUAGCUUCCACCACCCCUGGAUAAUUACAAGCCAAAAGAACAUAAGAAAGAAUUGUUCAAAAACAAGGAUUUAAAAAAAUAACAAGUACCUGGCCUUCUUAGGACUAGCACUGUUCUUGCAGUUUCUCUCAAUGUGUCCUCUUUCACCACAGCGGUAACAUUUGUUCUUCCAGUCCCCUGCUGUGCAGUCCCGAGCCCAAUGACCAUCGACACCGCAGUUAAAACAGCGUCCAGAACCAGGAGGUGGACCUCUACUACCAUUAUCCCGAGCAUCCCGAGAACCACGAGGUGCCUAAACAUAAAUUAUUUGCAGGACAUCAUUAGUCAUUUACAUCAGACCAGUGGAUGAACCAAUGAUAUAGAUAUACAAAACAACUAACCCCUCUGGAAGCCUCCACAGUGAUGCGACUUCCAUCGAAGUCUCGUCCAUCAAGGUAAUGUCUAGCGUCAUCAGCAUCACGAGGAUCGCUAAAUUCCUGUUCUCAAAAUGUGAGGGGGAGAGAAUAUACAAAAGAGCAAACCCUGGGAUAAUUGUUAAAGGUGUUAUAAUUAAACUUACAACAAAGGCAUAAUCGCGCUUCAUAUCAACAUCUCGUACUCUGCGGAACCAGAAAAUCAAGGCCCCAUCAUUAUAUAAGGAACUUCCGUACACCAAAACACCAUUUGUGGCCAAGUAAAACAUGCAAUAAAUCAACCAACAAAAUCUCCAAUGCACCCCUCUAUACACCACACCAGGAGAGAGAGAAUAUCCACCAAUUACACCAAGUCCACAGUACACUCAUCUCCAGGUUAGGCAAACACCCCCAGAAACCUUCAACAACAUCAUUCAACUUGAGAAAGAAAAAACAAAACACUAAACCUAGAUCCAUAAAUGCACAGCUAUAAAAAUACUAGACAGAGAUGUAAACUCGCCCAUUGGAUUCUAGUGUUAACAUUGUGCACACAUCUCCCCCAAGAAGAAUCAUUACAGCUUCAUACCAAAGAAAAGAUGAUAAAUUUCAAACACCAAGAAACCAAAAAAAAAACAUCAUUCAAGGGAUAAAUUAUCAAGUCCACUAAAAGUAUGCAAUAAAUCAACAAAACACCAAAUCACCGAUGCACCCUCUAUAAAAAAAAUAAAGUUCACAACAAUACAACCCCCAAAGACACGAAAAUCAAAAUAAAUCGAUCAAGGCAGAUAAAAUUACCUUCCGUAUCUGCUGAAAAGACGCUCAAGGUCUCUGGUGCGAGUUCUAGAAGACAAGCGACCAACGUAAAGGCGAGUGUUUCCAUAUCGAUCAUCAAAGCGAGGCAUUCUCAAUCUGAAUCAUCCGUAAUCAUAAUUUAUACAAAUCUCUAAUCAAAUACUAUAUACAAUAGGACAAAGAUCGAUAAAGCGAAAACAAUUACACGAAUCUUCAUACCUGGAGAUGAUAACAGCGGAGGAGCGUACGAAAUCGCCGUAACCCUAAUACGGUUUCGAACAGAAGCAAGUGAACCGCGGACAAUGAUACUCUUUGAUCCCCUAUCCUAUAAAUGUUAGAAACCGACAAGAUUCGAUGUGGUCGUUUCAAUCAACGGUUCGGAUUUACACAGUUAAAAUAUUGGGCUUAAUAUUUACAUUUUUAAGCCCAUUAAAUGGAUAAUUUCGUUUUUUUUCCUGCAUCAUUUAAGGCAAGAUAAGAUUACUCGCUGACCAAAGACAUAGGGUUCCAAAACAUAAAUAAGGCAAUAUAAGAAUUAAUCGCUGACCAAAACUAGUGUUUUUUUUUAAAUUGGACUGGACCGGUCAAACUCAUUACUGUAUUAAAAACCGGAUUUGAAUAAGAUCUCAUCAAACCCCGAUUAAAAUUGGUCAAAUUUUGUUUAAAAUGAUUAUCUGAUUCAAUACCAACACUCUAGUGUUAAAAUUAAGAUUUUCAAAUUCAAACUAUUUUUAAAAAAAUAUUCAUAUUAUUAUUUUUUAAUAUUUAUAUAACUAAAUUAGCCUUAUAUUUUACAACUAUUUAAGGAGACGAAAAAACGAAAUUAUCAUUAUUACCUGACCAUAACUAAAUAAGGAAAGUUAAUAGAAGGAAAAGGAAAGAUCAAAUUAAACGAAAAGACUAUUUAAGGAGAAGAGAGAUCGUGAAUCCAAAAGUGUAGAAAACAGAGAUGACGUCAUCGUCUCUCCUCGAGCAAACUCGCUCCAGACACGAGGAGAUUGAAAGAUUGGAGCGGUUGAUCGUGGAAGAGCUACGAAAGACGACAGAACCGGCGUCCGGUAUGGAGAGAUUGGUCAAGGGACAUCGUGUACGUAACAUGGUACAGUCUAUCAUGCUUAAAACUAAUAAACUUGUUGAAACGUAUGAAGAUAAAGAUAGGACGAUGGAAACUGAGAUAGCAAUGCUUGGUGAAACAUAUUUGUUUUACCAUCGUUUGGAGGAGAUGCGUGAGUGUCAUAGGAAGCUUCAUCUUUCUGGGCAUCUUGUUGAUGAUAAUGAUGCUAGUGAGGACUAUAUAGCACUUGUGACAAAGGAAGUACCAGUUAUUGCGUUUAGUGAAGAGGAAGGCUUGACGUAUAAAGAGAUGGAAAAAGAACGUGAGAGGGAUCAGGAAGCUUAUGCCAAAUCAAGAGUUUACCAUCCGCAUUGGCUCAAGAAUCUUCGUGAACUUCAGCAUGAGUUUAAAUGUGAGAUAUGUGGGAACCAGAGCUAUAAAGGAAGAAGAAGCUUCAAGAUGCAUUUUAAAGAAGCGCAACACCAACGGGGUAUGCGUCUCUUGGGAAUCCCAAGCACAAACAGUCUUAAAGAAGUCACUACGAUUGAUGAAGCAGAGGAAUUAUGGAGGAGGAUAAAGUGGCAAGGAAUGUGCAUAUGGAGGCCAGAACUUGAAGAAUAAGUACAUGAAGACGGUUAAGGUAACUGAAUCUCUCUAAGCGACUUCCGUAACCGAAUCUUGAAUGAAGACGAAGGCAAAUGUCUCCAAGUGAGUCACACAAAGAAUAGUCUCUUUUUAUUGAUCAGCUCAGCUAAGUCUUUUAUUAUUCACCAAGAUGCAAAUUACUGUGUAUAAGUAUUAGCUAAUACUAUUUUUUAUAGUUACAAUGAUACUAAUCCGAUUUUUUUGUGUCCGUUUAGUAACUUUGAUUUAGUUGAUGUGAACGGUAGAAGAAAAGGGUGCAAGAGAAAGGUAGAGCUAAGUGAUUGCUCUGGCAACGCAACCAUGAAUAAUUUGGAUCACACCAGGUAAUUACAGACCUAGUUGACCAUUUUCUAACUAAUAAAAGCCCCAUUGUUUCCAAGAUUAUAUUGCUUAUUGCGCUUUAACAUAUUAGAACAAAACAGCAUUUGAAGUUACUUAUUUUUAUUAAUGUUUGUUUCUACAAUCAUAGAAUGUCUUCUUUUACUGACGAUUGAUUGAUAACAUUUUGUUCACUAAUGAUUGAAAAUAAAAAGUUAAAACUGAGCAGUGGUUUGAAAGUGGAAAAAUGUUUAAUUUCGAAUGCAAAUAGUUAAUGAACAAGAGUCAGGCUCGGUGAUGCUUACCAGGUCCCAUAUGAGCCAUUAAGAGCCAAACAAAGCUUACAAUCUCGCCACCUUUACUAAGGUGAGCGGCGUGUUGUUUAGACUCACAGUGAUUUGCUGCAUAGUAAAGCAACUCAACCCACACUCUGCUCACUACUCCCCAAAUGCUUCGUCCCCCUGAUCCUCUCUCAAGUUUCUUAAGCUCCUUUGCAAGCUGGCGCGCAUCUUCCAUUGCAGUAGACAGUAGUAUCAAACAUGCAAUAAAAUAUAUGUUCCAUAAAGUUUUUAGAAUUAAUUAAUUUUUUUAUAAAACAUAAAAAUUUAGAAAAUUUGUAGCCUUUAUAAAUACUUUAUAUUUAUUUCUUAAUUUAUUACCUUUAUAAGUAAUUUUAUAAAUGAAAGUAUUAAAUUAUAUGUUAAAAUAAUAAUUAUAUAAAUUGAACAUUUACAACUCUAUAUUUAAUUGUAGAUAUAUUUUGAUUUGUCUUAGAAACGGAGCGGAGCGGAUAUCCGACCCUGAAUUUUUUGGUAUUUGUGAUUUGCUUCGUUUUUAACAGAUAUCGAUUUUUAAUAUUUGCUUUGCUACGAAGAAUAUCCUGAUUUUUGGAUUGAAUCGAAACGAAUAACGAAUUGUAUCAAAUUUAACGGAUUAAAUACCAGCCCUAUAUCAGUUGUUUCCACUAUGAGUGUUUAUUGGAAUCAAUAGCUUUAUAAUUUCCCAUAUGCAUUAACUUUUUACCUUAAGCUAGCUAAAAUUUGAAACUUGUAUUUAAAGUCUUUCAUUUAUACUCCUUUCUCUAUCUUCGUUUUACCUCUUCUGAACAAAGACUGAUCGGUCGAAUUAAAUACGCAAAAAAAAACAUUUGAAUAUAUCCAAGAGAUAAUAAAUGUAAUGUAGUACAUAAAUAGUUAAUAGUGACAUUUCAACUUCUAAUGUGUGUUUUUAUGUGGACAAUACAAGAGCCUUUCUACUCAACUCUUUGUUACUCUGACCUUACACUCAUGUGACACACUGACGCAUCUAUAUUAUUAAAGUUGAAGUACACAUUGAGAUUGUUUGGUAAUAUGGAUAGUAAUUAAAAAAAAAAGUAUUGUUUGGAAACAUGGAUAGUAGUAAGUUAGGAAAAAAAAUAAUGGGCUUAUAUACUACUAAAAAUUAGAAAUCUAUUACAUUAUAUUAAAAAGUAAUGGGUCUAUGUUAUUUGAUAUAUAACAUAUUCAAAUCAAAAUAAUAAUUUAAAAUUGAUUUAUAUCAAAAUAAUUGGCAAAAUAAUAUAUUCAUUAAAUUUAUUCAUAUAUAUAUAUAUAUAUUCAAAAUUUGAUUUUUACUAACAUAUUUUCUAAUAACUAUUAUAAAAAUGUUUUCAAUAUAUAUAAGAAAAAUACAAUACAAAGCUCAAUUUCAAACACCAACUUAAAUUAUGGUUUUUAUAUUUCACAUUAAAUUUUAAAAUAUAAUAUAUGUGAUUAUUUAUAUGAUUGUACGUAUAAAAUAUUAUUAAUUAUAAGAAAACAUAUUUGAUGGUAUAGAUAAAAUACGAUUAAUUAUAUGAUAACACAUAUUUUGUAACCUACGAUGACAUAUAUAGGAUAUAUAUAUAUAUAUAAUAGUGAUUAGGGGUGGGCGUUCGGGUUCGUUUUCGGGUCUUUUUGGGAUUUCGUGUUAAGUUCAGAUCUUUAAGGAUUUGGUUCGGAUUUGGAUAACCAAUUUAAAUAGGUUUGGUUUAAAUAUUUUGAUAGAGAAUUAAUAAUUAUUUAAGUAUUUUUGGAGUUUUGAGUAUAUUUUAACUAUUUAAGAUAUUUACGUUUGAUUAUUUGUAUAUAUUUUCAAGCAUUUAAGCGAACUUAAAAGUUUACAUCAUAUAUAUAAGUAUUUAAGCGAACUUAGAAGUUUACAUCAUAUUUUCAAGCAUUUAAGCGAACUUAAAAAUUUACAUCAUAUAUUAAAGUAUUUACGUUUGAUUGUUUGUAUAUAUUUACAUCAUAUAUAUUCUGGAUAUUUUUAUAUAUAUUAAAUCUAAAAAUAAUUAAUAUAUAUAAGUAUAUAAAUCUAUUUUGGAUACCCAAAAUACUUCGGUUCGGAUCGGAUCGGAUUAGAUUUCAGUUCUUCAAAAACCAAAAUUUUGAAUAAUUCGGAUAUUUAAUCAAUUUCGGUUCAGAUUUAGUACUACUUAUUCGGAUUGGGAUCGGUUCAAUUCUUUGAAUUCGAGUUUUUUGCCCAAUCCUAAAUAGUGACACAAAAAUCAAAUAGCAUCAUAUUUUUUUAAAAAAUACACCCGCACGGGCGUGCGGGUCAAAAACUAGUUAUCAAUUACACACACAUACAUUUAUAACGUAAUAUGUCUGUUUCUAUAUAUUAAUGAGCUUUUGCUUCUGCUAAGUUUCUAUCCAAUAUGUUUUGUGCAUCGCAAGCAUCGACGGCUACCGCUAGCCAUGACGAACGGAGCGUUGCAGCUCGAGCCAUCGACCGUCAUAAUCCCAUUAUCAAAGAUGGUCGGAGAUCUUUCACGGCACCUUGCUCUUCCGGCGACGACUACAUUGCACCAUACCGUCAGCUUUCGAAAGUUACGAGGAUACCCUCCACCUCCGGUGAAGGGAAGAUGAUUCAGGUGGUGGAGAAAGGAAGAAAGAGCACUUCAGGGUCGUUGCUGAAGCUCAGUGAUAACAUCAGCUUAGCGAGGAAGAGUUUUGGAUGUGUUGCGGGACCUGCGUGUGACGUUACUGAAAGCACACCUCCUGGUUCUACUAGGUAUCUUCUUGGAUCCGAACCGGUUUCUUCGGGUAAGGAUACGGUUGUAACGGAGGAGGGUGAACCUUCUUUGGCGAAGAGAGGCACUGGUGCUGCCGACGAAGAUAAGAAGAAGACUUCUUCUGGUUCAGACCAGGCAAGUAAAGUAAAGUUUGUCGUUUACUGUACAAUGAGUGGUAUGAAUGUAAGAAAAAGAGAGACAUGAGGGUUGGUUUUGUCUUUUUGGAUGUAGGUGGUUGUUCUUAGAGUGUCUCUUCACUGUCAUUGCAGAGGCUGUCAAGGCAAAGUGAAGAAACAUUUAUCUAGAAUGCAAGGUCAGUCUCUUUUUUUUUUCUUGCUUUUUGUUAUCAGCAAAUAUGCAUACUUUACUUAGCGAAGUCUUGUCUUUUAGUAUAAUAGAUCUACCAAACUAUAAGCAAGCUAGUUUUGGUUUUAGUCUUAGAUUGGAGGAUACAUGACUUGUACGUACACUUGUAACCCACAUGGGAGAUGCACAUCUCUUGGAACCGGUUUAAGUAUCACUUAGAGAAGAAACAUUCGUCUUGACCCCCAAAAUUGAAGUGGUUACUAUAUAGUAUUUGAUCAUUUAAUCCUCAGUCCGUAAAACUCUAUAAAUAUAAGUACCGUUGCUUAAUUAUUAUAGUUUUUGGCAAUACGUAGGUGUGACAUCUUUCAGCAUAGAUUUUGCAUCAAAGAAGGUAACUGUGACUGGAGACGUCACUCCCUUGGAAGUACUAGGCUGCCUCUCAAAGGUCAAAAAUGCCCAAUUCUGGACACCACCUCCUCCACCUCCAUCAUCACUCCCAAGGGCAACUCUUGAAAACUAAAAACCACACUCAUUAUUGUAUUUCUAUUUCUCUUUCUCCCAUUUGUUUGAAUCAAAUCAAUGGUAAAGGUUUAGACUUAACCUACUUCAUUUUCAUUGUUCAUUAAGAAAGACCAAAACUUCCAGAUGAUGAUUGAUGCUUGUUUAUUCAUUACCUAAUGUGAUGAAACUAUCAUUACAUAUUACAUUUGUCUUUUUUUUUUUUUGAAACAGUAUGCAAAAUAGAGAUAAUAUUUAACAUUCUAGAAGAUUGCAUCUACUACAAGCUCUGCUAUGAGUUCAUCUGUCAGCAUUUUCUCAAUAUCUCUACCUAUGAUUUCAAUGUCAUCUUCCAAACUCAGCCACUCAAACUCCCUCUUCUCCACAUCAUCUUUCCUUGGUUUCUCCUCUUUUCUUGUCACCAAAUCGAGCAGAGUCUCUUCUAUCUUGUUCACAUCCCAUUUCUGGCAAACCCUUGUGGGUUUAACCCAAGGGUGUGGAUCCGGAAACUGCUUUAGUAUCUGCAUUAGCUCUCUGCUGAUCUGAUCAAAUAGAAACUUUCUUUCUAACCGGGUUGAGGUUUUCAAGCUGGAGUACUUCUUCUCAAGAUCCUGAAACAAGGAUGGAUCCACAGGUGUUUCCAUGACAGUGUUGUGGCCUGCGUUGCUCAACUUGGAGUUAUCUAGGAGAUCAGCUAAGUAUAGUGACUUCCAGUCCUCUUGGCUGAUCACAAUCUCAUCAGUUAUAUUUGACGACUCCUCUUGUUCUUUGUCUUCAUCACUCGAAAUAAGCAUUCCACCUUCAUUGUAAGUAGCUGACUCUAGUUUGAGGAGCUGUAGUUGCAUCCUGAGUCCUGGAGCAUAGAGAUAACGGUUAACACGUCAAACAUUGAUGAAUUAAUGAAUAAGACUAGCGCUGGUUGCAGUUGCACCACAUCAAUCAAUAAAGUGACAAGCAUUAGUUGACUACCUUGGAGAUCAGCGCUAACACUCUCAAAGCAUUCCGAACUCGAUGAAACAUCAUCAUCAUCGAAAGAAGCUUCUAGAACUGAAACUGGACUUGGUUGAUCUCCUUCCUUUGAGCUUUCACGAGACUGUUGUUCAGGAACCGAAGAAUGAUUUACAUCCUCAGUUGCCAUCCUUGAGACAUCCUAGAACAACACUGAACAGUUAGUUACGUGUUAUAACAAACAUGUAUCCAUGAUCUUGAAACAUGACGUUCACUUACAGGGUCAGUUAACAAAGUGACAGUUGACAAAUCUGGAGCUUCGGAAGACAAUGCCGUCUUAAUAUCAUCCGUCGCUGAACUAUCCUCAGUGUCUGAAUCUGCAUCUACUGAGAAACUGCAACCUGCUUUAGAAGAAGAGAGCUUCCCCUUUUGAUGAAUCUCGUGGUUCAUAUAAAGAAACUUGGUUAAACUUGGGCUCCUGUUGACCUCUGGCGAACUAUUGUUUGAUGAAUGAGAUUUAUUACUACCAUGUCUAGAUGAUUUGGUUGACAUGAAAGACUGAGAAGAGCUCCCCUUCACUAAUCCAUCUCUACUAAUUAACUCCUUAGGAAGCACUAUUGUGUAACCAUAAGUGCUUUCCUGGUUCAUGAUGGUUUUGGAUUUUGAAAAACUUCUUGAAGAUGAUCCUUUCCAACCAUCUCUACUACUUAUUCCAACCGGUUCUGGCGAUUCAGACAACUGAGCAUUGCUCUCAACUCUUUUACUAAUCCCUUCUUCAAAACUGAGUCCGUUAAAACUUGCUGGCCUUGCCUCCCUAUCUGAAGUUGCAAGCAUCUCAGCUAAUGUGCCGCUUCUACUAAUUUCUAUCUCUUGCUCGUACUUGUGUGUCAUCUUCCAUCUCUCUGAGAGUCUCCUCUUGGCUUCCCUGCUCACAGAUGAUGUUGUUGAUGAUGAUGACUUGGAAGGCAAAGAUCUAUGGUAGUUCUUGCGGUUAAAGGCGGUUCUUGUUCUUGAAGUUACUGGCACUAGCUCUGAUUCACUUGCGGAAUCACUCCCUGAUGAGCUUUCAUCACCUGCGUAUCCUCUGAAUCCUGAAGCCUCAAAGCUCAUUGCACUACUACAGCUCCCCUUCCUUUGCCUAGACAUUAUUUUAGAAUAUUCUCCAGAAUCUCUAGAACUCCGUCUUGAAAGGCCGUUGUCUUCAUUACUUUUCUGCCUGACAUGAUUAAUGGUGCAUGGAAGAAGCCUACGAUCUGCUCUGAACUCAUCGGAAGAAGAGCUUGGCGAUGCAAAAGCUCUACCAGCAUAACGUGGCUCACCGAGGUUAGGUUUCAGAACAACAAUAUUGGUUGGCUGCAGCUCACUUCUCUUUCUCAGCUCCACAUUUGGUAAGUCAAGUGUGUCAUAAGAAGCAUGCCUAGUAUGAGAACCACCACCAUGCCGAUGAGGCUUCUUAUCUGGUUGACUGUAAUGUGGCUUGUGAGGUGUGGUUUGAAGAUCAUGCAGAUGUUUAGUGAAUAAAGAAUCUGGUUGCUGGAGAAACUUCAGUAAGAGGUCCUUGUUAGAGUCCAGAGCCUCAAGCGCAUCAUUAAACUCUUUAGAAUGACGAAGCUUCUCAUCCGUUGAUAAACGCUUAGCCUCCAUGAACUUCUGCCUUAUAAAAGCCAUCUCUGCCUGAGUGAGAUUAGCAGCUUUCACCCUCCCCUGGUGAUAUAAGUUUCCAUUCCCCUCUGCCCUCUUUGCAUCCAAAACCUCGAAAACAUCUUUAAACUUUUGCUCCUCCUUUGAGCUCCUUCUUGCCAGAGACUUAUUACCAUCACAAGAACUGCCUUGCUGAUUCUCCACAGGCUUUUGUUGCCUGUGGGAAGAGCUCUGAGGGGGCAAAACGUCGAGUCCCAUCAGUCUGGCUAUAAUGCUCGGUGAUCUCCUUUUAGGUUCUGUCUGCUUUGACAUUUCUUGAGCUAGCAAGCUUUUCAUUGGUAAUCCAGUUUUGGUUUGAUGAGCAGAAUCUUGAUGCAGCUACAAUAUGAGGAGGAAGAAGUCACUUUCAAACAACAAGCGGAACCAAAACAUCUCCAUCUCUCAAUGCUACUACAUAUAAUCUUAAAGAGUAUACAUACCUUGUUUUCAGUUAGAGCUUUCUCAAAGUGGAAAGAAUGAAACUGAGGAGAUGAUGAUCUUGGAGACUUGAGUUUGUGAGUCUGUUUCUUUCCUGAAAGAAAAUGAACUCGCUAAUGAGAUGACUUUUAAGUGUUGAUAAAUGAUGAUGAAAUUAACAUUACAAGGGAAGAAACUAAAAAGAAAAGAAAAUUUGGGAGACAAAAAGAGUAAUGUCAAGCACCAAAUGUGGGGGUGGUGAAGAACAUAAAAGCAAUAAUUAAGCAGUGAGGUUAAGUGCACUCAUUAAUAGUCAUUUACAUGUAAAAUUAGAAUCAUAACCAACCACUGUUGAAAGUAUUGAAUUUUUUAACACAAAAACAAACCAAAUCAUGAGAGAGGCUACCCAACAAACUUUUCCCUAAGAUUUUUUUUUCUUUUUCUUCUACUUUACUUUAUCAUAAAAGCAGCUAAUCUCAUCUUCUCUAACCACACUGCUUUAACUGUAGUUUUCCACAAGAAAAUAAAUUUACCAAUGCUUUUGUAUUCAUCUCUACAGCAAUUAACUUCUGGAACCAAUUACGGCAGUGAUAACCUUCAUUCAGAACCGACCAACCAAACAAAACUAAGUCUUAGAUGCUAUGUUUGGUUUCUCAAACAAAAAAUAAAAAUAAAUCGAACAACCCGAAGAAGUAACCAAACAAAACCAAGUACUAGAUGCUAUGUUUGGUUUCUAGAAAAUAAAAUCUCAAAACAAAAAAAAAAAUCAAAUCAAAUCGGUGCGUUUUUGCGUUUUCUCGUCAACUAAGAAAACACGAAAUGAGAGAGGGAGAGAGAGAGAGAAACCUUGAGGAGAAGUGGGCAGUGGCGAAGCUAAACGAUCUCUGGAACUGUGCUCAGAGAAUCUAUAUCUGCUCAUCUUUCACUCACUCCAAAUCAUUUCGCGGAGCUAGCUUGUGUUGAAACACGAAGAGACGUUGAAUCUAGAUCCGGUAAUUGAAGAAAGUUUAGAGUAAGAGAAUGCAAGCGAGUCUCAAUGACAAGAGGGAGAUCGAAUGAAUCCUAGAAAAAAUCAAAUGAUUGCAGAAAGAAAGUGAGAGAGGAAGAGGAAGAAGAAGUGGAGGCUUCCUUCGUAAUUUGAAAGUUCAAAAAUGUUAAAAUGAGAGGACAAAUUAAAACAACAUUUAAAUUAAAUAUUAUUAUUAUUAUUAUAGUAAUAAAUAAAAGGGAAGGUGUGAAUGGUGCGUGUUUGGUACUAUACUAAGAGCAUCAUUAUCCCUAUAACCCCAUUUGGGUUUCUUAAUAAAUUAUUUAAUAAUAAAAGUUAGUUAAGAAAUAUAGUUAAGAAACUUAUAAAUUUUAUGCUUUAUUGGGGGUUUCUUAAUUAAGGUUUUUAAAAAAAAAGUGCCAUAUAGAAAAUGUUUUUGAUUGUUUUGUGAAUAAAAUUUGUGAUCAAGAGAAGAAGAGAAAGUGAACUUGUUUUGAGUAAAAUGUGUUUACUCGUUUUGUAUGGUAAGAAGGAGGAGAAGGAACUUGAAAGUUGAGAGAGCUUCAAGUUAUAAAGAAAAAAAGAACAUGAGAAUGAAGAGAAAGAACAAAAGCUUAUUUAUACAAAACACAUUACGAGGUAUUAUUUUGCUCAAAUCACACAAUCACCUUAAGACACAAAACAACAAGACACAAAUCUGUGACAGAAAACAACAAGACAACGUUUGCUUAUAACAGAACAACAAAAACAAGACCAAGCCAUACGUUGUUAACUUAACAGAACAACAACAGGAUAACUUAAACGAGCAACAACAAGAAGGAGAACUCCAUUUCACAAAUCAGUCAAUUAUAGAUACAUGAGCAGGCGAGACAUCAAACCAUUAAAAAAAAAGAGGUCGAACAAAUCAGUCAAUUAUAUUUAUAAGCUACAUUAAUAAAAAAACGCAGCUUGCAACUACUUUGAGUGAUCUGCUCAUACAAUCCACUAUAAACCAACUUAGCAAAUAGCAGUUAAGAAGCUAAAGAGAGAGUCCCUUGACCGAAUACAUUUCAUCUACUAAUUCUCAUGUGGAGAGCAUGGUGGCUUACCGCCCAUUGUGAAAUCCACAGUUGGUUUGGUACAAGCAGGGUCUAAGCUUUGCUCUGUCACUUCCAUAAAUUGCUUUCUUAGCAGGAGGCGGCGCAUCAUUGCCUACAGAUAAAGGAAGGUAAAUUCUAUCUCCUACAUUCAAUGACUCCUUGGCUGCCACCUUCAAACAAUCAGUACCAUCAGUUCCUAAAAAAAACAGUUCUUAUCCUAACCAAGAGAUGACUAGAAGAAGACUUACCCUUUCAAUGACUCCUUGGCUGGCACCUUCAAGCAAUCAUCACCAUCGCAGCUCAUAGGCAUUUCUCUUCUAACCUGAAUCACAUUUACAAAUCACUUAUCUUGUAACUUUCACAGUUCGAUUGAAUCUACAAAAUACAAUCUCUUUAGCUGAAGUGACACGGACCUGUCUUAGACGAAAGAGUUUUUGUAGGAGGUUUAUAGGUAGGUCGGGACGGCAACGAAGAAUCCACCUUAAUGUCGUCGUUGAGCCAUCCGUUGAGUCUUUGACGAUGGAGUCUCCGCCCAAAGAGAGCUCCUUUCCUACGGCGGCGGCGUCAAUGGUGGGAGAGAAGGGAGGUAGAGUUGAUCAACCGAUUGAUCGCCAUUGUCGUUGGACAAAACAAAGAGAGAAGAAGAAGACUCGAGAAAAGAGAGAGAAAAAAUAAUAAUUUGAGGUUUGCUCACAUGCUGACAGGUGUGCUCUCUUUUAAGCUAAGGAUCGAUCUCAAAAAGUUCAGAAUAAGGAUCGGUAACUGCAUUUUAAUUUAGUUUUCAUUUAAUUAAAUGCUGUAAUUUGUUUAAAACCCCCCUUAAAAACCUGCGAUAAUGAUGGUCUAACUUACUGAGUUCUGUGCAUCCGUAAUUUACUGCCACUUGUCUCUCCUCUCCAUUCUGUUUCUUCCUCUCUUUUGUCGCACCCUCCUUUUAUUUUUUAUUUUUUUAAUACAACUAUCAACACAUUGGUGAAUUAUUUAACCCAAAAAAAACACUACUACUAAACUCAAGUUUGGUGUUUGUUUAUGUCCUGAAUCUUUUUAUAUUUUGCUUUCACUAAAAGGAUACAAUGUUUUCUGAAAUAUAAUAACUUCUUUAGGUGAACCGGUUUACGUAAUUUAAAAAGGUUGUUUCCUACAUUUCCUUCUUUAUUGCAUAUUUACAUUAUAAGUUAGUUGUCGACUUUGUGAAAAAAAAGAGGAGGAAAAUAAACGUACGAAAAAAGGAUAAGGCUUAUUGGCGAGACAUUCUUGCAUGUUUUUUUUUUUGCUUAAAAACAUUCUUGCAUGUUGAGCCAGAGUAUUCAUUUUACACGCAUCGCUUUUGUUUAGCCUUUUAAUUUAGUAGCCCUGAUCACAUAUCAUCCUUUCAGAAACUUAUCAGCCUUAUUAAUUAGAGUCAUAAAAAAGGAUUGGUUCCAAUAUAUACUCUAUUUAUUGGGAUUAUAAGUUGAACUGAAUCGAAAUUUAUCUAUUUUAACUUUGCUAAAGUCGGACAACAUUUUUUCUUCUUUAGUUAAAAAAAUAGUUUAAGAUGUUUUCACUCGAAUUCAUAAGAUAGAUUUUGUUGUCCUCUAACAUGUCAAUUAUAUGUAGCAUAAUUGUAGUUGUGCACUAGUUAUAGAGUAGAAAACUACGUAGUUUGUUAAAGCUCAACUGAAAAUUCGAUUCCUACUUUAAGCAAAGAUAUUUUAUAGUAUUAACGUUUAUAUUACCUCUAAUCCAAGUCAUGUACCUAGAAGUCUUCUUAAAUACUAUACUAGUAUGUGCUUACAGGAAAAGUUUAAACUUAUAAACUUUGACAAAUUAAGGAAGUAGUUCUUGAGCUCGCCAAAUAUGAAUAGCUAGAAAACGACAAAGAUCCUUGCAGCCUUCGCUAUCCAGGUAAUUAAUCCGACACAUUGCUCAAAAUAGGUUUAAUGACUGAAACAUUUUCCCAGAAAGAAGCCGUUAAAGUUACUUCGUAUCGGUUAGAUUAUAAAUUAACUACUAUAGUAUUGGUGUUUCAUCCUAAUGAUUUAAUUGCAAAUUGUUACAAGUAGCACAUUCACUAUGCAUUCAUUAACUGGGUUUACUGUUUCAGAACUAACACUGACAAAAUUAUUUCUGCUGAUCUCUUAUGUAUGAAAAUAUAUAUUCAAAAAUAGAGAAGAAUACUAAUUUUAUACAUAUGUAUGAAAAUAUAUAUUCAAAAUCAGACGGAAAAGAACAAAUUUGAAAGCAGAUGAAUCUUUAACUUUCGUUUUAUUCACAUAUCUCCCUUGAUUUAUGGUAUAGAUGAUAUAUUGCCUAUGUGCCUAGCCUACACACGUAAUCAUUACUUUUAUGAUUGUUAUUUUUACAAUCAAUAAAAACUGAAGUUUUUUUUUUUUGAAAAAGGAAACUGGAAUUUUUUUUAAUUUGGUAAUUCGAAAUAACAUGCGUUUUCUAACUUUUGUGUAAAGGUACCACUGCACUAAUUUGGAAUGUUUCCAAAGCUGCAAGAAAGGAUUGAAUUGGUAUUUAUCUUGUUAAGUAAAGAAAACAAAACGGUUUCUUCGUAAAAAACUUGGCCAUCUAUUCUAUAAGUUCGUCAAAAUAUUCGUAAAACAAGUAUAAAAUAAAAAAGUUCAGAAUCUGUCAUAGUAUAAUUUAUUGACUGUUUUGAGAAAACGUUGUUGAUAAAAAUCAAUGUUUAGGGUGUAACCUAAGAACAGCUCAGCUGCAUGGAAAACCUAAGAUUCUGUUAGUAAACCAGUACUCGCAAGUCAAUAAAGUAUCGCAGUAAAUAAUCCAUCUUAAAUAGUAUGUAAGCAAGUCGUAAUAUCUAAUUAUGAAAAAGUUUUCAGGCCUAGAAAAAGUAAUUAAAAUUAAACGGUAACAAGAAAAACUGUAAAAAAAAAGACAAGAAAAAGAAAAGUAAAGCAGAUUCCUUGACCUAUGUGAUAAUCGCUGAUCGUUAACACUAUUAUAGCGGUUAAUGCUUUCGAUCAUGUUAGUUAGGGUCAGCUAGAAAAUAUAGUAAGGUAAGAAAUAAACUGAACCAUAUACUCCAAAGAAAAAUUGUUAAUCAAAACAAAAGAUAUAUGACUUGGCAAAAAAAAAAUAUAGGACUAGAGUUUUGAUGAGAUUCACAUUAAAAUAACAUUUUAGUAAUUUUCGAUUACGUUUACUGUAAAUAGAUAACAUUUUUAUAUCUGUCAUGUCACGGAAUUUGUCUUUGCUUAUUAAUGUCAAACGUCCAUCCUCCAUGAAAAGAACAAGACAAACAUAAUCUGCUAAAUGUGACAAACAUAAUCUGUUCUUUUCGAACACUCAGAAUCUUGUUAGAUUUUGUUGUAUGUAACUAUUAUGCUAGAAUCUUUACAAAUCAAGUUAAUGGCAUGAGAAUAAAUUUUAGCAAAAUAUGUGAAAAGUGGAUAAAGGAAAUCUAUUACAUUAUAUACUUUGAAAUUCCUAAUCGCUUUACUCAUAAACGUCUCUAACGGCAGUUAUGGGUUUAUAGUGAUGUGUUUCUUCCAACGAUUAUAUUUCUCCAGUUUCUAGUGAUAUAUUUUUCCGCCGAUCUAAAAUCCAAGAAUAUCAAGCUAACAAAGAAGAGAAGAAUCGGUGUAUAAAAGAAGCAAUGAAACGGUGCAAGAGAAAAUGUUCGUAAAUAUUAAAUGAUUUGGGAAUUUCUUCAGUGAAUUAAGGCUUUUUCAGUUCAAAAAAAGAAAGAAAAGAAAUAAGGCUUUCGUAUCGAGAGCAGAGUGUAACUAAAUUCACUUCUUUAUAUGGGUUGUUGUAUUUAUGUAUUUGUUGUACUUAUUUAUGUAUGUAUAUGUUUGUACAGAUGAUCUUACCUAACGUUACUAUAGUCUCGUUGUACCAACUUUUGCAUCUGAAUUCAUAUCAAGAAACGAAGUUGAUGUUAAAAGAAUAAACUUCAGUGUGGUUUAAUUGUUUUUUUUUUUUACUUUCAAACAGCAGUAAAAUAUCGUAUCUGAAAAUUCUGUAAAAAUGUUUUUGAAAUAGAAAUUAUUUUUAAAAUUUUUAUCUUUAAACAGUCAUUUAUUUCUGUCGUGUCCAUGUUUUCAGUGAGAAUGCCAAUACUUAUAUGUUAAUCUUAGUAUUUCUAGUUGACAAAAAAAUACCAAUAUUUCUAAAUUAACUACAAAUCAACUAGCUUGCUACUCACUGAAGAGACUAAACCUUUUUUUACAAGACUGAACUUUGAAUACUAAGGGGGGUUAAUAUUUUACAAAUCAAUAUUUUUACAUCAAAAAUUUAAAAUAAUCAAACGAAAGUAACUAAGUUGGUGCAUUGGUGGUAGCCUGGUACGUUGCCAUUACUCCAAUGGUCGCUUUAGAUUACAAGGGUUUUACAUUAUAUACUAUAAGUUUAGUCAUUCGCUGAAGUCUCAUAUACUUUUAGCUUAGAUGACAUAUGUGUCGUGAUUAUAUUGUCUACCGUAAAGUCGUAGUCUGACAGAAAAGAGUUUAACGUGGUUUGAUGUUGUUAUAAUAACAGCUUAAUGAUUCAGAUGCAUCCCGAAUAAUAUCUAAUAUCAAUAAAAGAGAAGUAUGUCGUUUUACUAAAAUCCAAGCUACUAAAUUUGUUACGAGGGCAUCUCCAUCCCUACUCCAUUUUUUCCUCUAAAAUGGAGUAAAAGUGAAUAUGGAGUAAGAAAUGCUCCAACCCAACUCCAUAUCUCACUCCAUAAUGAAAUUUAUUCUAUAAAUGGAGUAAACUAUUUUUUGUUUGUUCAUCACUCCAUUAUGGAGUGUGAAAUAGAGUAGGGUUGGAGCAAUUUUACUUCAUUUUCACUUUUACUCCAUCUUGGAGGAAAAAAUGGAAUUUUACAUUGGAGAUGCUCUCAGAGUAGAAGUGAAACAAACCACUGUGAAAAAGUUGAAGAAAAGGCGAGAGGAGGAAGACGACAAUGUGAUUAAUUACUUGUUCAACUUAAUUUUUUAUUUUAUAAAAUUUUAAAUUUUAAUCCCAAAUAUCCACCCCUUGAGUCUAAACAAGUUUAAAUUAGUUAACUCUAAGAGUAUAAAUGUAUAUUUACCUGUUUAAUGAAAUAUUUUGGUCAUUUUGAUCCUUAAAGUUUAUAUUUGUGGCAAAAACUUUUUUAGUGCUAUUCUAAGGUAUUUCUUUUAAAUUUAUAUUAACAAAUAUAUAUAUACUAGAUUUUCUAUUUCAAUUUUUUAAAAAAAUAUUAUGACAUUAUCACUAAGCAAACAAAUUUAAUUUUUAAACAUAUUAAUAUAUUUUUUUUACAUUACUUUUCUAUCAAAAUCACUCUACUUUUUCCAUCAAAUAUGCAUUUAUCCCGUAAACCGUAGUUGAACCAUACUGCACUUUAGUUUUGCAGCGCUUAUAUUAUUAAAACCGUGGUUACCAUUCAGAUCCUAAAUCUACAAUGGUUAGGACCAUAUAUACAUGUUAUAAAACGAAAUAAUAUUUUAUUAAGUGGUUGACAUAGGAUAAGAAUAAUGGUUUGAAAAUAAUUUUUCUACAAAAAAGUAUCUCCAACCAAUUUCUAUAUUUUGCUUCUAUAAUAGCAUUUAAAAACAAAAUUAUUCUAUUUCAGCUCUAUUUUUUCCUGUAAAAUAGUGUUAUUUUUUUCUCUAUCUACAAAAGAAGAAAUAACACUCCUCUAGUUUUAAUUUAUAUGUAGGGAUUACUAUUUAGAGAAAUACAUUAGAGCAAAACGCAUCUCUAUUAUAGUAAAAAUAGCAUAAUACAUUAGAGAUAGUCUAUAAACAAAAAUAUAAUAUAUCAUUUUUACGAUUCUAGCUUCAUCAAUUUGUAAAAAGAUAAUAUUAAUCACUUCUAAUUUUAUCUGAUUUAACAUAAUUUUAAUUUGAGUUUAUCUAAGUUUAAUAAAAUUUGAUAAAAUUUGCAUUUUUAAAUAUAAUGUUUUUUGGAUAAAUUUUGUUUUUUUUUUCUGUUAAACAUCAAACCUAAAACUUUAAUAUAUUUGUAAGUAAAUUACUUAGAAUUUUAUUAAUAAUAAUAUUAUAUUAUUCAAUUUAAUUGUGAUAUGAGUUAUUACUAUACUUCAUAAAAAGUUUAAUUUAUAAAAGUAAAGUUACAAAUGUUACAAUCUAACUUGCUGUUGUGUCACAAUUUUUAAAAAUAAAGAUUGUCCUUUCUAUGAGAAUAAAUGUUGUAAUAACACAUCAACAAAUUUGAGGACGUCACUUUGUUCACAGAAUCCUACGGUUGAAUACUAUGAAAAAUCAUACACCUAAAUUUUUUUCUUCUUCUAAUUAUAUAAGGGUAUUCUAGCUCCACAUAAGUGGUCCAAACUAGUCAUGUAUUGUCUCGUGUCAGUCUCAUAUCCUUGGUGAUGCCGAAAUAUUAAUUUCUCAGUGACCAUGAUUCGAACCCUGGUGGUUUCACCGUAUUAGGCUUUUGCCCUUAAGUUAAUCACUACCGAAACACAGAUCCUGCUUCACUUAAAAGUUUUUGUCUAAUUAGUUUUUUGUUAACCGAAACAUUUCAAUCAAUGUUCAGACAACCAAAUGAAUCAAUCAUUUGACUAAUUUCUCUAUCGGUUGAUGGGAUUGUGGGGACCUAACUUAGGCAAAAAAUCAAGCACGAACAUGGGCUAUUGAACAUAGCAUUUAUAAACUUCAACUACAGAAAAAGAUGAAGAAGAUCAUCGUUUGUGAUUGUCAAAAAUGUGGUCCAGAUAUGACAACUUCAUAGAGGAAGGAGAUCUCUAUCAUACUUAUGACUCAUUUAUAAAUCACGACUUGGCCAUUCUAGGCAUAUUACCUGAUCAUUAUCCACAACCAGGAAUUCAAGCAAUAAAAGCAUUAGAGUUUCGGUUUGAUAGUAAGAACUAAGAACAUUGAUUUUGAAACAUUGUAGUUUAUGAUUUAAAUACAUGUUAGUUUUUCACAGGAUUGAGCAUUCUACUCUCACAAAACCCGAAUCAGAACAGAUCAAAAAUUAUAUGUUCUGUUCGGCCAAGUCUAAGAUAAAAUACCUAUUAGGUAAAAUAAUUUACAUACAUAUCUUGUUUCAGGUCUAUGUCCUACCCAAGAUCCCAUCAAAUAUUUGAAAUACUCAAAAUUUCCUGUAUAUAUUAGUUAUGUUUGAGUAUUAUAGUAUAUUUUUCAGGUUAAAGUUUGCGGUCAUGGUCUCAAGUUUAGGGUAAAAUUUCAUAUUUUCAGAAAUACAAUUCGGGUAUUCGGGUAAAUGUCUUUGUAGUUUCGACAGAUUUUGGAUUAAAUUUGGGGUAUUUGAAUAUUUUUAGCUAUUUUCGAGUUUUUGGAUCCAAUUAGAACAAGAGAUUCGGAUACUGUUUGAACAAACAUUCCAAUGAUUCCCAAAGUUACAUGUGUGUUGAUGGACUAGUAACAACAUGCAACCAUAAAGAAAAUAAGACGACGAAAGAGUUAGAACCUCUGGUCUAGGAUUCACACAUCAUCUCAGCUUCUCUUCUCCACUCAAUGGAAGAUUUGAGCGUCCCAGAUGAAAUGAGUGACUAGUCUUAUGUCAUAGAGUACUUUUCUAGCAAAUGAACAAUGCCUAAGCAUCAUCUAGACCAUGUGUCAAGUAAACUAGUUUUGCCAACUAGUUUUGUUUAUUUUCAAGAUAAUGAACAAUGAUGUAUCUAAGCAUCGUCUAGACCAUGUGCACAGGAGAUUGUGAUUCAAAUCCAAGUGUUCAACUUAUGAUCCUUGUAAAAACCAACUAAACAAACAUCUACGAGAAAGCAUCAAAAUCAACUAAACAUUAUUCAUCUCAAUAUGAUCCACCAAAACAAAUCAACUCUCUGAUCCAGCCAUCUCGCGCUGCGUCUUCUCUGAGAAAAGCUUGGAAGCAAUCAAAUUAUCCAUGAAAUACUCUCUGUAAGGAUGAUUCUCAGGCACAAGUUCUCUAAACUUAUCAAACUGUUCCUCUGCUUUAUCUUUCUUCUUCAGCAACAUGUAUAUAACUCCUUGACAAAGAUACGGUCUGAAAUCUCCUGGCUCUUCUUUCACAAGCUCUCGAUAAAGCUUCAAUGCUUCACUAUGCUUCCCUUCAAUCACCCGAAUCUGCGCCAAAAGAAGCUUAAAAUCUCGAAAAUCGUUGUGAUUAUUCUCCUUCUUGCAUCCCAGCAUUGCUUCUUCGAUUCUACUCUCCACCUCUUUCAAGUCCAGGCCUGCAUCUGAGUAAGCCAUGACCAAGCCGUGAUAAGCUUCGACGCGAAGAGGGUCCUUAGCAAGAAUCUCUUCGAAUGAAGCUGUAGCUGAGUCUAUCUCUCCACUGUAUGUAAAGAUGUUAGCUUUAAGGACAGGCCAUUCUGGUUCUUCUGGUUCUAGUUUGAUCAAACGGUCGACUACUUCUACCGCUUCUGUGAGUUUUCGAGAUCUGAUCUUUACCUCCAUUAAGGAACGAAGAGAGUCUACGUCAGGAGGGUGAGUUGCUAAAUGCUCUUCAAGCGCUCUCUCCUCUUCUUCCAAGGUCAUGUGUUCUUUGCUUUCCGUUGACGGAGGAGGCGCGACGGGAGCUGCAAUCGCCGGAGGUUUGAGCCGGAGGUUGACGAAGAGGAGGGCGGCGGCGGUUGUUAGAGUGAUGCAUGUGGACUUGAAGAGGCGGAAAGGUGUGGACUUGUGGAGAGGGGUGAUAGGGUUUUGGGAUUUGGAGGAGGAAGCUUUGAUUGGAGUGUGUUUGAAAGAGGAGUUUGGUCGGAUUAAUGGUCUGAAGGGGGGAAAUGAUGGGUGUUUCGGGAAGGAAAGGUGAAAUGGCUGUAAUCUUCCCAGAGACUCCAUUAUCGAGAUAAACCUUGUCCCUUCAAAACCCUAUUCAGUAAGGAGAUAGCUGAGGAAGAAGAUGAUGAAGCUUUUCCAUCCGUAAUACGCCACCGUUUUAUCUCUCGUGGGCCUCAGUUUCCCGCUGAACGGAUCCAUACGGGCCCUAAUAUAGGUUUCGAUCGGAUACUUGUUUGGAUCUCUUUCUCUACUACAACUUGUAUAAAGAGUUGUUGAUAGUUGUCGCAUUCAAUCACCCAGACAUCAUGAAGCUGCAUAAUAUGCAAGAUGAACACACUGACUAUCACACUGACUUUGAGGUGUAAAGUAACUGUAAUAACUCUUUUCAAACAGCCACCGAACGACAACCUUGGUCGUGGUCGGAAGAUGAACACAAGAAACAAACACAACAACAGACUGAAAAAACAAGCAAGGGAAAUGACUUUCUCUCUUUUUUUUCAUUUCUAUACAUGAAGAUAUAAACCAGAAACUGCAGAUUUUUAUGCAAACAUUAAUCUGCAGUUUCUUCUUUUUUUUUUUUUUUUAGUUCUUGUGGUUAUAUAAAAAUGGAUGAGGGUUUUGGUUAAAGGGAAUACUUUGUUCCCGGCUUCUUGUGAAGAAGGGAUGGUUCAGUGCUUCCCUUGCCUUGAGCCUCUCCGUUGGAUCAUAUCUCAGCAGCCCUAGUAACAGAUCUAUCAGAUCACCCGCCGAGUGAUCCACGUGCUGCAUUAUCAGAUUCUGCAAAAACAAUGGUGUCACUAAUUUCAACGUUGCAGAGCAGCCAAUGUCAAGUCCGAAGUUACUGAGAAAUUAUUUACCGGUAACCGGGGAAGUUUCCACACUGCUUUUAAGCUGUCUCUUGAUGUCGCACCUUCAGGCCAGUCUAACUUUGCGCCUCGUCUGAAGUAUCUGUCAGAGCGCCGGCUGCAAGAACAAUUUUGAUUUUGAUAUAACAAACUAACAGUUUUCAAUUUCAUUCUGGAUGAACUUCUUGUUCUUACUCGGCUCUCAGCACCAUAUGAGGCGGUAAUGGUCCUAGGACCCUUUCCAUCAUGGCCAGAUGCUCCAAGUUUUCAUGCGUUUGGAAAAGUGCCUCUCCCUGCAAGAAUUCAUACACAAGAAACAUCUGCUGAGAUAUGAAUACUGGUGUACAGAAUAACAUGAAGAGAGAAAGUUACUCACCGAACAAAGUUCAACAAGUAUGCAACCGAUACUCCACAGGUCACAUGGAUAGUUCCAUCCAACCCCUGCGAUAAUGUUUCAAUAUAUUAAAUAUCGACAGCUAUGCAAACAAAAUAUUAUUUAUACAGAUAGUUAAAAGUCAUAAAAGUUUACCUAGGAUAACUUCUGGUGCGCGGUAAUGCCUUGUGGAUACGAUAUGGUUAUGGUCUUGAUGUUCAAGCGUUGUACUUCCAAAAUCAAUGAGCUUGAUGGCACUUGACUUUGGCAGAUUCUUAAAGUAUGAACCGUCUCUCGUGGGUCGUGAUAGAAACUAGAUUUUCAUGAGCACAAAGGAAACAAAGUCAACCAAAUUGAGUUAUACAAGUUCCUUCAUGAAUCCAUAUCACAUAAGCCAUGAACCUAGAUGCGUUUAGCUUGGAGAUGAUUGAAUACUCACCUUAUAAUCAGGUAUUUUGAUAUAUUCAGACGACACCAGAAGAAUGUUCUCCGGCUUCAAAUCUGUGUGAAUCAGCCGCAAGUCGUGCAUAUCUGUCAAAAGAAUGAACAAAGUCUGAGUACACUGGUAUGGUAAACAAAAAUCUCAAGACAUUGCAGUUGGAGCAAUUUGGAUUAAGGAAUAACUAACUACUACUAAUGCUUAAGUCUUAUAUCAAAAAGUUUCAGAAAGUAAAAUGAUUAAAUUUCUUAGCACUAAUGGACAACUAUAUAGAAGAAUGGGUAAAGAAUAGUCCACACACAUGCUACAGACUCCAAAAGUUGUCGGCCAAGCUCCCGAACAAGGUCAAUAGGAAAUGAACGGUAACUAUUUUUGCGGAGAAAGUCAUAUAAGCUCGGUCCAAGCUUCUCAAAUACCUGUUGAAACCAUUUAAACCCAUCCGCAAGUUCUUCUGAUCUCAAACUUAUCAAACAAAAGGUAACAAGUACUUACAAUACAAAUAUGAUUACGAUAGUCAAACCAAUUCCGUAUUUGCACACAACUGCAAGGAAUGGAAGAGCUUAUACCAAAAUGCAAUAAAGUACUAACCACGAAUUAUAGAAAGAGGAAAGAAAUAUCCUUACCGAGAACCACCAACAUCAUGCCUUGAAAGCCUUUGCAGCACGUCAAUUUCAAUCAUGGCAGCUUCACGAUACUUGGGUACGGACCGUAUAACUUUAAUCGCCACAGCUUCUUUGUGUUUAUCAUCAAAACAUUCCAGUACUUGUCCAAAUGUACCUGCAAGAAUACAAUCCAUUUGAUGAUGAAAUUACUAAUCUUCUCCAUACCGAACAGAGAAGAAAAAAACAUAUAUCCAGAGAGGUAAACUAACCUUCACCCAUUUUGCUGAGGAUUUGAUCUGCAUUCACAACAGAAGAGGGGCAGUUAACCUCCAUCCAUGGAUAGGGUUGAUGAUGAAACAGAUAAGAUGACGAAAGACUCACAUCGUGGAGUUAAAGUGUCUCCAACCACAAAGGAAAAGUGGCCGUCUUUAUCAUCUGGUCUCCAGGGAGGAGAGCCCUGACGAGGAAGGCCGUUAUAAAACAUGUUUGGGUAACCAAAACUGGGAACUACUCCACUCGCAAACUCAGGACCAUAGUACAACGGAGGAUGAAACACCUGAAAAGAAGAUGCAAAGACUUAGCUCGAGCAAACACAAAAACAAAAAAAAAGAUGGAAACUUUUUAAGCAGUCCCAAUUGAGUAAAAGAAUAGCUUUUUGAUAUAUAUGUGGACAAGUCGUUACCGAGGAUGGUGGAGGAAGAGGAGGAGGAGCAUCCCAAGCUAACCGAGGCCGUUUCCUCGGACGCUUAUCGACGUUCCUAUGUGGGAACUCAACGUUCCUCCGAGUUUCCAAGAUCAUGGCGAUCGAGCUAGCUUUCUCACGAUGCACACUGCUUUGCAUUAAUGGGUUAUUAUUAUAAUUGCAAAUCCUGAGCUGAAAUCAAAAACCCAAGGGAUGAUUGUGGAUGAAUUCGAAUCGAAUUAAGGAGAUUAGAUUCUGAAAUUCGAAAACCCUAAAUAAUCUAUAAAAAAAGCAUAAAGUAAUGCAGCAAAGAAACUAACCGUAAAUCUCUAUCUCUCUCAAAGAUUGAAUCUACGGGAGUUUAGAUCGGAGAUACGGAAUGAUCUUCACUCAAUUGUAGCUGGCGAAUCAAAAAUCUCAGGGGAAAAUAUUUGACAGCGACAGAGACUGAAACGAAAUGAUGAGAGAGAGAAGGAAGAGGUAGGAGACGGCGAAGGAGAGAGAGAGAUGGGCUUUACAAAGUUUUCAGUGGGCUUCUGUUACCGGGCCUUUAAAAAAAAUAUCUGACUUACAAAAACGACAUGAAGUUUAUGAUGUCCAAGUAAAGAGACAACGCAGAGUUUAGUCAUCAAACGUCAAAACAUCACGAUGUUCUCUUCAAAUACUCCCAAUAAGGAGUAAGUUGCAACAGAGAGAGAGAGAAAAAAGUCAGAAGCAACAAUGGAGAUAGCCGCCGUUAACACCGUCUCCGUCGCGCCGCAAACGCGCCUACUCUCAAACACCUUCUCCAGGAAGCUAGGUUCCGUCUCUUCUCUUUCUCUCCGUUCCAUCGAGAGAGAACAUCGCGUUGGGAGCGCUAGGCUUCGCGUGUCUGCAGCCUCCUCCUCCUCCUCAAUGGACGCCGUCACCGCCGAGAAAAUAACGCCGGCGAGUUUUCUCGAGAACAGAGAGUCCAAAAAAGUUCUCCAUUUCGUGAAGUAUCACGGUCUCGGCAAUGACUUCAUUUUGGUAACUUUAGUUUCCGUCAAUACACGGUUCCAAUCCCAAUGCACGGUUUCAAAAGAUGAAGACUUUUCUUUUCUUGUCAGGUGGAUAACAGAGACUCAUCGGAACCUAAGAUCACUCAAGAGCAGGCGGCGAAGCUCUGCGAUCGGAACUUCGGUGUUGGUGCUGAUGGAGUUAUCUUUGCAAUGCCGGGAGUCAAUGGUGCUGAUUACACAAUGAGGAUAUUCAAUUCAGAUGGAAGUGAACCAGAGGUGGGCCUUUUUUGCGAUAAGAUAUGUUUUUGAGUGAGUUCUUGAAAGUCAACGGCUUUUUGGUUUUGUUAUUGUAGAUGUGUGGUAAUGGAGUUAGAUGCUUUGCAAGGUUCAUUGCUGAGCUUGAGAACUUGCAGGGGAAGCAUAGGUAUCUUUUUUAUCUGUAUCGCAGAAACAUGUUCUGACCAUUAGUCAUACUUGCUUGCUAUUAAUCUCUCUGAUGUCUUUUUUGGGUAGUUUUACAAUGCAUACCGGAGCUGGCCUGAUUGUUCCUGAAAUUCAAGAUGAUGGACAGGUAAAAUCAUUUGGAUGAUGGGCUCUUUAUCUCGUUGUUUACUGGAUUGUGAUUGAACAGGUUAAGGUUGACAUGGGGAUACCGAUUCUAAAAGCACAAGAUGUGCCCACCAAGUUGCCUGGGACCAAAGGUGAAGCUGUUGUUCAGGCGGAACUAGUUGUUGAUGGAGUCACCUGGAAUGUGACUUGUGUUAGUAUGGGCAAUCCUCACUGUAUCACGUUUGGUACAAAGGGUGGACCGGUGCGUUGGUUUGCGUUCCUAGACUCUUAUUAUUCUUCGACGUAUGGAGUUUCUCACCGUUUGUAAUUUUACUCUUGUGUCAAACCAGAAUCUGAAGGUUGAUGAUUUAAACUUGCAAGAGAUUGGUCCAAAGUUUGAGCAUCAUGAAAUGUUUCCAGCUCGAACUAACACAGGUUUGUGGAGAUUAAUUCUCUAUCGUAUCUUGAGUUUAUAUCUCUUACGGUUGUCUUACAAUUCUUUGCGUUUUAUCUGCAGAGUUUGUGGAAGUUUUGUCACGUUCUCAUUUGAAAAUGCGUGUCUGGGAGCGCGGAGCAGGUCACCUAAUCGUUCAAACUAACUUCUCUGUCAAAUUAUCAGCACUCUAUGUUUCCUUAAAAGCUUAAACAUACUGCAGGAGCAACUUUGGCAUGUGGAACUGGAGCUUGCGCUCUGGUUGUUGCAGCAGUCCUUGAAGGUCGAGCCAACAGGGUAAGUUUCGAAUUUGAGAACUAAAAGAACUGGAUACCAGUUUCGUAAUUUGAUAAUAUGAUCAGAUUAUACAAUAGUAUGCAGCUCCUAGUCUUCCAUAUAAUAUAUACAUGAAAUGAAGCAUGAUAGUUUAGAGAAACCGACGUUGUGCUAGAUAAACUGAUUGGUUUUCCUUUUUGUAUGCACAUUUGAGUUUAAAUAAGCUUCACAGUUCACACAUGUGAAUUGUGAAGUAGCGGGGAGGGAGUUUGUUUUCUUAAUCAUAGGUUUAGCCGAGGGGACAAGGGUUAUACACCGUGUUGGGAUCCUUUCCGGAUCUUUUGGCAAGAGUUGAUCUCUUGUGGGAGAAAGAACCUUGUAUUCCUUUUGUUAUAUCUAUCAGUAAAGAGUUAUGCGUUCUUAAUCUUUUUGGGAUCACGAGCUGAGAUUUGCUGCAUGGGAUAUGUAACCUCGAGCUUUGUAUUGGUCAUGGUGAAACAGAAAUGCACGGUGGAUCUGCCGGGCGGACCACUGGAGAUAGAGUGGAGGCAGGAGGACAACCAUAUCUACAUGACGGGUCCUGCGGAAGCUGUCUUCUACGGAUCAGCACUGCUCUAAGUGUUCACGGUCAUUGACUUGUCUCUCACCCUUGUUAAGACUUAAGAUUGUGUUUCAUUGGAACUGAUUCAUGGAUAUUGUUUAUGUACUUGUGUUGUUUUCGGGGUUUCAGAGUAAAAUUCCAAACCUUCUGAGUAUGUGCGUUUAUGUUCAUAGAUUUAAAACACUGUUCUCUCACUCACUCUGCUUACCGGUAAGGUUAAACUUGUACAUGUGCAGACUAUUAUCAAAAGUCAUAAGCGAUGCCACUGGAUCGAGAUCAAGUUUUAAUGUUUAUUAAUUAAGUUAUUACAAACUAUAAAAAUCUUGCAUAGACGAUUUCUAUAAUCAACAAUUUUUACUAAUUUUAUGAAAAUUCACGUCUAAUUGUGCUACUUUAUAACGUUUUUUUACUAAAUUCAUGCAUCACAACACUUUUUGUACUAUGGUGAAGAUGUUUUGUAAGUUUUUUUUCAUUGAUUUACAAAUUGGCGCACUCACUCAUGAUAUGGAAACUUUUAUUCAAACCACUGAAAUAAAAACACUUCCACAUCAUUUAUCUAUGGGCAAUUGUCAAUAAUAGCACCUUUUGAAGUUUAUGUCACAAAAAGAGCACUAGAAGGAGAAAGUCACAAAAAUGACAUUCAUUAAAGGGUAAAAUGUCCCUAAUAUCCUUGGUUUAAAUUAAAUAAACAAACAAAAAUAAAUAAAAAAAUAAAAAAAAAAAUAAAAAAAUAAAAAAAAAUAAAAAAAUAAAAAAAAAUAAAAAAAUUAAAAAAAUUAAAAAAAAAUUUAUAGUUUCAGAUUAUAUGUUUUCAGAUUCGAAAUUUUUAUAAUUUUUUUUAAAAAAAAAUUUUGAAUUUUUUUUUAUUUUUUUUUUCAAAUUUUCUUUUUAUAGUUUAAAAAUAAUUUUUGAAACUGUUUUAUAAAUUUUUAUUUUUUAUUUUAGUAUUUAUUUUUUAUAAAAUUUUAAACCCUAAUUCCAAAACCCCACCCCCUUAACUCUAAACCCUAAGGUUUGGAUUAAUUAACCCAAGGGUAUAAGUGUAUAUUUACCUCUUUAAUGAAACCUAUUUUUGUGACUUUGAGCCUUGAGUGCUACUUUGGGAACAAAAACUUGGUUUGGUGCUAUCCUAGUCUUUUUCUCUUUAUCUAUUGUAUUGUAUUUAAGUUAUAUUUUCAUAAAAUAGAUCAUAUAUAAAGUUAAAAUUCAAUAUCUAUGGCUUAUUUGAAAAAAAAAUAUAUUUUAAGGUAAAUCAGUUAUCUAAACAAAAUUUAAUGUUUUAAAAAAUUGUUGCAUCAUUUAAAGCAGAGAAAGGUGUAGAUAGGUCUCUCAAUAUCUGUAUUUAGAUCCAAAACAAAUACGAGUCGCAUCGUACUAAAUCCAAUUGAGACAAAAUCACCGAAUUUCUGACAACAAAAUCUUGGAUAUAUGUUUCGUGUAAACGUAAACUAUCUACUUGAAAGCUUAUUUAUUACAGUGAUGCUGAUAGUGAUACAUAAAGAAAAAGAGGUCAGUAAUACCAAAUGCUAAUGCGGAGAGCAAAAACAAAUACCUAUUAGAAGUUGGAAUUAAUCUGUGAGUGGAUUAUAACAAAACGUGAGCUAUCUACAAAUGUCUCGUUUGUCCAAAUAAAAAUCCAGUUGACUUUCAAAUUUCAACUCUUAAGUCUAAAAGUCUUCCAUCAUCUUAAUCCUGUUUAGCCGCUGCCAAUGCCAUGAUUCCAUCACUGAUGACGAUAUUUACGCAUGCAUGCAUGCAGUGUAGACUUCCAAUACGUAAUACAUUAUAGGGGUUUUUGCCAAAACUAACCCACAACUUGAUUUUAAUCCCAAACCUAUACUCAAACUUGAAUCAAAUGCAAAACUAACCUAAAAGCCUAGUGAAAUUACAGCUCAGCCCCUUGUGACCAAACAAAAAAACAGAAGCCAUUUUUACGAAUAUAGCCCCAGUAAAUCGUCUGAGUCGUCUGAGAUGUUGGAAGUCGUCUGGACGACUGAAGUGUAAGUCGUCUGGUACCAGUUUACUUUAAAAAUAAUUUAUAAAUCUUGUAAAAAAAUAUUUUGAUGCUUAAAAAAUAAAAAUCAAGUAAUUAUAAACAGUUUUAACUGAUAUAAAUUAAGAUAUGAUAAAAUUGAUUUGUUUUGAAGAUAGAUGAGUGGAAGUAGUGAAUCAUGAAAUACUUUGGUUUAGGAGUUUGGCAAACAUAUGUUGUAGUAUUGUAUGUAUUGUUAGG